GGUCGGUGGUUCUUAUGAAGCUUGGUAUGUCCUUGAGACGCAUGUUAGGCAUACCAGGGAUCCAAUCAAUGGGCAUCUCAAGUGUCCCAUCGCUAACAAAGCGUUCAUCUACAACGAAAAUAAAACGCAUGUUUUUGUUUCAAUAUGCAAAAAAAUAAGCAUGGAACAUGUUGCGUGUAACUUAACCCAUAGAACUUCAAAGAGAUUAUUAUCAAUGAACAUAAGAUAUCCCAAAAUUAAGUUACAAAUUACAAAGAAAAUAUAAAAUAUGUAACCUUUGAAUGGAACAAUGCCUCUUUGAGCUAGUUCUUUGUAGUGCAGAAAUCCCAGAAAGCUAACGGUUGAAGAAGUCCAGAGUUGAACAUAAGGCACCCCAAUGAGUUGAGCUGCCUUGGUACCAAAGUCCAUGGUUCCAUCACAAACUAUGCAUGUAACAGGCGGCAGGUGGGGUGAGGAAUUAAGCUUAGAUAGUAGCUCCAAGAAUGGAGCCAAACAAUUUUUCCGUGUGGAAUUGCAUAGUGCCGGAACAGACUGAGUCGCAUCAGAAUCGGAAGGUGGCAGCCCGUCGGGUAUGGCUUCGAACCGGAAAUGAGGCAGACCCUUAACAGCUUCUUCCCCUCUAGACCGUAUAAAUCGUCUAUGAUUGAACUCGGAGUUGACAAAGGUUAUAUGGAAGCCUCUAGAGUGCAAGAGCUUGGCCAGUUGCAUCAUGGGGUUAAUAUGACCUUGUGCUGGGCUUGGAAGACAUACUGCAUGCGAUUUAAUUGAAUCCAUCUUUCUGCAAAUAAUAAUUAAGCAAUGAAGUCAAGUAGCUAGUGAAAAUUGAAGAUAAUAUGUUUUUGGUUGAGAAAAUAUCAACUGCUUCCCUCCAGUGCUGGGUAUUAUAUAUGACUGAAUCUUGUGUCAUCAAACCCGAAGGAUACACGUUUCUAUUUUUUAUUUAAAAUAAUUAGUUUUCAUUCCUCCAUUGCACAUGUAUAUUUAAUUGCUAGAACAAUAUAUAUAAAAAAUUAAUUAAAUAUUAGAAAAUAUAUUUAAUAAAACAAAAAGUAAAUAUAAAAAACUAAUCUUAAAUUAUAUUAAAGUUUAUUAAUAAAUAAAACAUAUAUUUACUAUAAACAUAUCAAAUGCAAUAAUGAAAUAAUGAUUAGUAGUAUUCAUAAAAUAUUAUUAUUUUAAAUAAACUAGUCAUGUAAUUUUAGUAAGUUCUUUUUUGCCACUGUAAAUGAAAAAUUUUCAGAAAAGGCAUUACUGUUACAAAUCGUUUUCAUUUUGAUCGUCUGUCAUUAAUUUGGUGUUAAACCAUUUUAUUGUACACUUAUUUUAUAAUCCAACUUUAGUAAGUAAUUUUCAUUUUGGUCCCACAAUUUAUUUUUAUAAAUUUAUUUUUAUUUAUAUGAACCACCUAGGUUAUUAUAAGGAAAGCAUUGGGUUUUAACAAGGAAAACCCUUAAUAAAAUUUUAAUUUCCUUUAUUUUUUUAUUUUUUAGAAUUAUUUUAUUUUUUCUCAAUAAAUGAAAGAUAUAGGUUUUUCAAAAAAUAAAAAUAAUUCAAAAAAUAUAAGAGACUAAAAUGAAAAAUUAUUAAAUUUAGAUGACUAAAUGUACAAUAAUAUUGUCUAACCUCAAAUUAAUGGUGGGUGACCCAAGUGAAAACGGUUUGUAAUGAAAGUGCCUAAAAAUUUAUAAAAGUUAAGUAAUUAACUGAAUAGUUUAUUCUAUUAUUUUAUAUAAAACACAUAUUACGGAUCAAGUGCUAAUAACUAUAAUUAUUAAUACUCAUCUACUAUUAAUAAAUAAUUUAUUAUAAUAUAUGAAAAUAAAAUUAAAUAGUGAUUCUAUUAUUUUUGGUGGAAAAUAGAAAAAUACAAGAAUUAAUUUAUGCCAACUGGCCUAACUCUCCAAAUGGGGGUUUUCCAAACAUUUGCAAAUCUUGGCUUCCCGAGUGAGCCAUCUUGGUAAGUUUAUCAGCUUUGUGAUUUUCUGCUCUGGAUAUAUAAUAAAUAUUCCAAUGAAAAAUCUGAGACAGUAAUUGAAGAAUCCUUCUAAUUAGAGCUGUAUUGGCCUCUCCUGUAGAACUCUCCCAAAUAGCCAUCACCACUUCAAGACUAUCCGUUUGAAUGAAAUUAAGAUCCAAACUGGAAGUAAUAAUAUUUAAAAAUGAAAGUUUUUUAUUCUUAAUAAUUAAAAUAAUGCAUAAUUUAGUAAUGAAUGAAUUUAGACAUGGUGGAUAACAAUUGGUAGAGAUGCCGCGAAAAUACACUCAGUUAUUUUGAUACGUUAAUCUAUUAAUGGCUCCUUUUCGUUUUCCUAAAGUGGCUGCUCUAAUAUAUUGACUCCUCAAAUGUUGCUUGUCCCUACUAUUAAAAAAAAAAUCUUUUGUUUAUUGUCUUUUCUUUUUAAUUUCCUUUCAAGUAGUAAUCAAGAUAUUCAAGGUUAGCAAUAAUGACUAAUCCCUUCAUCACGAGUACUCUUCUGUAAGGAAUCGAACCUCCAACAACAUAGUUAAUAGAUGAUGAAGUAGGCAACUGCGACAUGACACCUAUCAUUUCGAAUAUUGUGUGGUCAAAAAUGAAAGAUUAGGUGAGAUAGAACAUGAGGGCAUGUUAAUAGAUGAUGAAGUAGGCAACUGCGACAUGACACCUAUCAUUUCGAAUAUUAUGUGGUCAAAAAUGAAAGGUUAGGUGAGAUAGAACAUGAGGGCAUGUUAAUAGAUGAUGAAGUAGGCAACUACGGCAUGAUACCUACCAUUUUGAAUAUUGUGUAGUCAAAAAUGAAAGGUUAGGUGUGAUAGAACAUGAGGGCAUGUAUAGUUUUUCCACAUCGAUGAAGUGUCCUUUCACUCAAAAUAUGUAAUUUUAUCUUUUUUCUAAACUUUUUUCGUGAAAAUAAUAUAGAAUAAUAAUUUAUUAAAAUAAUAUAAUAAUUUUUUAUGGACCAAAAUAAUCAUUUUUGAAUAAUGUUUGACAAGUCUAAUAUCAAAUCAUCACUGCAGCAAAACAAGCUUUUAGCGGCAUUUUUUAAGCCUAUAGUGGCGCUUAAAAGCGCCGCUAAAAGAAUUUGCGGCGCUUUCACAAGUGCCGCUAUAGACAAUGUCGCUAAAUUUGACGGCGUUUUUUUCACAUAACGCCACUAAAGAACAUGACCUUUAGCGGUGCAUUUAUCACAAACGCCACUAAAAGAACCGUUCUUUAGUAGCAUUUUAGAAAAAACGCCACUAAUUUUGGCAGAUUUGUAACAUUCAAUUUUCAUCCAUAUACAACCCUUUCUAUAGCAUGAAAUCCAACCAAAAACAACAAAUCUAAAUGAUACUUCAAAUUCAACGAAAGAUAUAUGAUAUAAAGUGAUAACUAAAGUAUAAUUCAAAAUAUUCUUACAAUAAUGUUAAAAGAUACAAUGUUAAAAAUAUUCUUACAAUAAGAAAACUGUAAUAGGCCAAUUUUGGCCUGGCUAAAAAACCAUUUACAUAGCCCAAAUAAUUCGGCCCAAUAAGGCCCAAAUUGCUAGCCCAAAAAACACAAAGAGUAUAGCAGAAACCCUAGUAGCCGCCACAGCAAUCUCAUCCUCGCACGCCGCCGCAAAUGUCGCAUAUGCACCUCCAACCAUACUUGCACAUCAAGAAAGAAAUAAACAGUACAUGGAAAGAAAAAUCCAAAGAUUGCGAAUCUAGAUCGAUAUGAACAGAUUUACUUUCUAUGUUAUUGUUUUAUUGUGGCUAUAAAAAAAGCCAUUGAUACACUGUAAUGAGUGGCCGAAAAAUUAAUAAAAAAGAAUCAUUUUUACAGCACCAACAAAGAAUCAAUCGAAACUAAAGGUGGAUAUUUUCGUUUUGUUAUUUUUUUAUACACUGAUAUUAAAUAAAAUAAAAGAGAGAACUUAUCUGGGUUCGGACCUGCGGCGUUGCGGGCGAUCGAGGGUGCCACCCCCGAGGAUUGGUGGCUGAAAACUGAAAGGUUUCUGGACUCCCUUGCGGUUUUUGAUGGUUUUUUUUGGGACUUUUGAACCCAGAUUUGGGUUUAGAGAGGUUGAGGGAGCUGAAUAGGGAAUUUUCCCCUUUUUCGACCACCGUAGACGACGGUGCCGGCGAUGGAGAUCGGCGGCCGACAAGGUGGCCGACGAUCGGACUGGAGGCCAGACGACUGGGGAAGGGGAAAGCUUUUGAAGUGUUUUUUUUUUGUUUUUUUUAAAAGAGGCUGCAAAUGAAAAUUUUUAGAGAAGUAGUGGCUUAAAUAGCCCUCCAAAACGGCGUCGUUUUGGACAUGGGUCGACCUGACUCCAACCCGACCCGGCCUAGGAUCCGCGUGUUUUUGCGCGGAGGGGUAUAUUGCGCUUUUAGCCCCUCCACCUUUUAAUAUUUUUACAAUUAAGUUUAUUUUAUUUUUAAAUUUCGUCUUUAAUUUAUUUUUAAUUUCAAUUUGGUCUCUGUGGAACGGCGCCGCUUAGAGAAAAAGGGAAAGUUUCCCUUCAGUCCCUCCAUGAUUAUUCGCGCGUUCAAUACAGUCCUUUGGGAUUUAAUUAUUUGCGAAUUUGCCCCAGUUUUUUAUUUUACAAUUCAAUUUAGUUUUUUAUUUAUUUUUUUAUUAAUUGAUAAUGUAAUUAUUAUUUUCAUAUGUAAUUAUUAUUUCUUUUUAUAUAUAUAUGUAUAUUUAUGUAUAUAUUUAUUUCCAUGUAUAUAUACGUAUAUUUUUGAAUAUAAUGUAGUUAUUAUUUAAUUUAUUUUUAUAUAUAAUUGUAUAAAUGUAUAUAUGUACUUAUUUUUUUUUAUUUUUUUCAAGCUAAUAUUUGUUAUAUUUAUAUAUGCACAUAUUUAUUUUCGAUCAUGUAUUUAUUAUUUUUAAUCUAUAUAUAUAUUGUAAAAAAACAAAUAUUCUUUUAUAUUUAUGAACACGUAUAUAUCCCUUUUUUAUUUUCAAAAAAUGCUUAAAUAUCUACUUAUAUUUUAACACAUAUUUUAUAAUUUAUAUAUAUAUAUAUUUCUAUACUCUUCUUUAUUUUCACAAAUAUGUAUUUUGUUUAUAUAAAUUUUUAUAAUCUAAAUUUUAUGUAUAAAUUCAUGUGUAUUCUUCAUAGUUUUAAUGUAUAUGUCAUGUAACUUUUAUUCUUUAUAUUUUUUGUUUAUUUUAUUUAUUUAUUUAUGUUUUCAUUAAUUUUUUUAUCUUGCUCGUUUAUUUAAUACUUUGCAUGUCAUUAACUUUUUUCUCCCUUAUGUAUAUUUGUUUCGUUUAUUCAUUUGUUUAUAUUAUUUCUAUACUAUUGUUGUAUUUGUUAUCACGAUAUUUGCACAUAUAAUAUAACGUUACAUCAUCUUUUACUCAAAUUUAAAAAUAGAAAAUUUUCAAAAUUGAGAUAAUGCUCGUAUUUAGGAUUUUCAAGGAAAUUGAGCCCUAACGUAUUGGGUUCCGAUUUUCUUCGUUAAAUCUAACAAUCGAGCAUUUCUCUUUAAUCAAAAAAAUAAGAACUCGUUAUUGGGAAUUCAACACGUUGUGUCCUAACGUAUUGGAUGUGACGCACUGAUUUCUCGAAAUGAAGAUUUUUUCUAAAAAAACAAUAAAGGAAAUAUUCCGAGUUUGGGAUUUUGAAGGAAUUGUGCCCUAAAGUAUUGGGCCGCGAUUUCUUAAAUCUUGAAUAAAUGGAUAUUCUUUUAAAUUUUUAUUACACGAGUAUUCUGGCCUAAUUCAUUUUUAAGGAAAUUAGAAUGUCGUGCCCUAACGCAUUGGGUGUGGCAUUUUCUUUCUCUGAAAUGAUAAGGGCCUUAAUAUGUAACGUUUUUAAGUUUUUGCUAAGGAUUAUAUUUUUCAAAUUUUCGACAUUAAGACAUUAAUUAAUUAACUAGGUACCAAUUUUUGGGCGUAAUGAAGGUGCUAAUUCUUCCUCAUACGUAACCGACUCCUGGACCCGUUUUUCUAAAAUUCGUAGACCAAAUUCGUUUUUAGGUGACCCAAUCACACCUUAAUAAAAGAUUGGUGGGGACUCCCAAUUCUUCCAAUUUUAAUUGACAACUAAUUUUUGUUUUCUUCCAAAAAUAAAAAUGGUUUCGACAGCUUGGCGACUCCGCUGGGGACUUUUGAGAGUCGAGCCACAAAGUUGAUUAAUUUUUGUCUUAUAGUCGAAAAAAUGAAACUUGUUUUAAAAAUCCUCUUGCAUACAUUAUUUUCAUGCUUAAUUGAUCUAAGUACUUUAAAUUGUUUUUUUUUGCAUUGUACAUUACAUAUGUUGGAUAAUUUUACCCUCUAAGUGGGAGUGAGAAACUAUUCCUUCGUGAGGUUUUCACCUUGGUAUAGGAUAGUGGAUCGCUUUCGGGAUACAUCGGUACCUAUGCCUUCGUGAGAUUUUCAUCUCCGUAUAGCCAUAGGGAAAAUGUGUCCCCCUGAACCGAACUUGAUCUAUAUGAGCCUAUAAUGGGUGAAGAUCGAGGACUCUGCUGGUUCGGGUACCUUUACUUUAGAACUGAACCGCAUAUAGUGAGCCUUAGGAACUUGCCCUAGGUAGAACUAUGCCAAACCCCUAGAGGUCACCUGAGUAGGUACUUUAUUUAUUUGCUUUUACUUUGUACUAACUUGUUUUUUAUAUUGUUAUUGUUAUGAUUGCAUUACACUUGCAUCUUAAAAAAGAGGUGUUGAUUCACGUUCAGUUGCUAAAUAGAGAGCUUGUCAUAAGAAAAUAGGUUUCUUGAUAAAGUGGAUGACAAUAUGGUUGUCCGAAUAUGGUCCAAGAACACGUGAUAAGAGAAGGAUGAUAAUUUAAUGGAGGACUACACGACUAUGGCUCCAUUGCCCAAGGAUUCAAGAUGGUAAAGAUUAUUCGAGAGCUGCUGAACCUUCUUAAAGAGAAGCCAACGAGCAUCACGAGGAUGAGUGAGCAACAAGUUACGGCCUGGAUUGAGCAAAAAAGAGAUAGAAGAGACGUUUUUUUGAAGAGUUUGUGAGAUUUAUCUUAACGCUCGAAUGAAGAAGAGGAUCGAAUAUCUCCGCCUAUGAGGGCAAGGCCGUAUAAAUAUUCAUUUUAUGUAAAGAGAUUUGUUUUCUAAUAAAGAUUUCUAAAUAGAAUUGAAUCAGAAUCAACAUCUCUUUAUGCAUUUAUUGCAUGCAUUCGCAUUGCAUGACAUCAUAAACAUUAAAGUCCACUAAAAGAGCCUAAUCGAUUAAAAUCAUUCCUCAGUUAAUCUGGAAACCAACCAACUUGCCAAACACUGCUACGGUACUCGAUCAAAGACUAAAGACAUGAACCAAAGGCUAGAAUAGUUCCAAAAAGAAAUGCAGGAUCAGCUUCAACAACAAGUGAAUUAGCAGCUUGAGAAGAUUCAACAAAAAAUGAUAGAUAAAAUAAUGGAAUCCCAAAAUAAUAUGAUGGCAAAGCUAACCCAACUGUUGACUGGAGGAGGUGAUAAGGGAAAUGGUUCCAUGGCUAAUGUCGAAGAGGGUAUUGAGGAUGAACCCCUCUAUCCUCCAAGCUUUACUCCUCCACAUGUGCGAGUUCAAGCUGAAUAUACGCACAAACCUACUAUCACAAUCAGGCCUCAGCAGUCCUAGGCCGGUGCUUCAAACUUUCAAGCUGGAUUAGGCUCUAACCCCGGAAACAACCCUACUAUAUCCGCCAUUCCUGACUUUGAUGAAGUGACUGAAAAGGAAAGAUUAAAGGAGGAGUUACCAAGACGGUUAGAGGAAAGGUGCAAAUGGCUCGAGGAGAAAUUCAAGGCGAUGAAAGUCACUGAAAGCUAUUGCGGGAUUGACGCUAAAGAGCUGAGCUUAGUUCCAGAUUUAGUACUCCCUCACAAGUUUAAGAUGCCAGAAUUCGAGAAGUACAAUGGGACAACUUGCCCAGAAGCUCAUAUCACCAUGUUCUGCAGGCGAAUGGCUGGAUAUGUUAGCCAUGACCAGCUAUUAAUACACUGUUUCCAAGAUAGCCUCGUAGGGGCAGCAUCUAAAUGGUACAAUCAACUGAGCCGUAGCACGAUUGGUUCAUAGAGGGAUUUAGCACAAGCAUUCAUGAAACAGUACAAUCAUGUAAUUGGCAUGGUACCAGAUAGAAUCAUUCUACAAAACAUGGAAAAGAAGUCCGGUGAAAGCUUUAGGCAAUACGCACAGAGGUGGAGGGAGAUCGCCGUCCAAGUUCAGCCACCACUCUUGGAAAGAGAAAUGACAAUGCUCUUUAUAAAUACAUUGAAAGCCCCGUUCAUCAUACACAUGUUAGGAAGUGCUACGAAAAGCUUUUCUGACAUAGUUAUGAAUGGUGAAAUGAUUGAAAGCGCCAUAAGGAGCAGAAAGAUUGAUGCUGGAGGAAAUAAUAGAAUGCAAGCCUCAAAGGAAAACGAAAGUGAUGUGAACAACGUGAAUACGUACAGAAAAUCGAUUGCUAAUUAGCAAGGUUCAUUAAGACAAGAACUUGGAGUGAAACAAGGUACUGAGAAGCUCCAGUUCACACCAAUUCCGAUGUUGUAUAAGGAGCUGUAUCAAAACUUGUUCAAUGCACACAUUGUUGCCCCUUCCUACUUAAAACCUCGACAACCUCCGUACCCCAAGUGGUAUGAUACGAGCGCACAAUGUGAUUACCAUGCGGGAAUUACGGGGUACUUAAUAGAGAAUUGCAUUACCUUCAAAAAGCUAAUUGAAAAAUUCAUCAACAUGGGUAUUGUCAAGUUGGAUAAUUCAUCUAAUCCGCUACCCAAUCAUGAUCGAUAAUGGAGUGAAUGCAAUAUAUGAAGAUGUGUUGGGAAUGGUUCACAUCAAUGUCAUAUAUGAAGACACAAUUGAAAAUGGACCUUGUUAGAUGUCCGCCCUUAUUAAUUUGGAAGUGUUCAAAAUCAUUGGAUUGCGGAAGAAAUCUCUGUAGUUUUUAGAGCUUAUUUAGAGUAAUGUUCAGAAUAUUCUUGUUGUUUUUAGCCUAAAAAUGAUAGGAAUUCCUUUGUGAAAUAGGCUCAUGUUUGAACAUCAUUAUUCUAAUAAAAUACAUCUUUGCAUUUAUUUUUUGAGCCAAUAUUCUUUCAUUCUUUGCGAGUAAUUAUUCUUUUAUUCUUUUGGAUUUUCUUCCACAUCAUUCUUUCAUUCAUAAUUAUAUUGUUCAAAUAAUUAUUCGUAAAUUCACACAUUCUUUUGUAUAUUCUUUUGUGCUUACUAUAGGUCCUCAGAUAUUAAGGACAUGAGUGACGCUGCUACAGAUUUCGAACCUUCUUUUGAGCGAGAUAUGUGUUUAGAGGGACUCAUGACUUUGAAGAUGACAUAUAUUGUAGCCUAUUUCCAGACUUGUUAAGGAUGGUAGAACAAGUCGAGAAACGGAUCUUACCCUACAAAGAAUCAUUGGGAUACAUGACUUCUCCUUAUGUGGGGCAUGAAGGUCAUUUGGUCGAUCUCGCCAAAAGAGUCUGACGGUCAUCAAUUCAUCUUUGUGAUCGUCAAUUACUUUACUAAAUGAGUGGAAGCUGCUUCAUAUGUCAAUGUCACAAAGUUGACAGUUAGCAAAUUUUUGAAGAAUCAUAUGGAACGCCAAAAGGAUCAUAUCUGACAAUGUACUAAAUUUGAGCAACAGCUCAAUAUCAAAAGUUUGUAGUCUGCUCACGAUUAAUGCCAUAUUGCCCUAAAAAAAAGAAAAAUGAGAGGCCAAGGUGAAAACCCGCAAAGGGCACCUUAAGACCAAAGGGGAUUUGAGUUGAAAACCCGAAAAGGGUGGCUCAAAUAUUGAUCAGAAUGGGGCACGAGGUGAUUAGAGCAACUCGAAUUUUAACCAGAUUGAAGCAUGUGGUGAUCUUGUUAUACCUGAAUGAUCAGGAAAUGGAAGGCAACAUCUUGGGGCAUUGGCAGAGUACUGUGGAUCUCCUAAACACAUGUCAAACUCAGAAGGAUCUUCAAAAAGUUUGUACAGAGAAGUUCAAGCUGGGAUAUCUGGGGCAUCCAAUUUUCAUACUAUUGAAUUUGUUGUUCUUGGAAUACUUCAUUCUUUUCAAAGAUUCACAUUCCCAAUCAAUUUAUUUGUUAUCCUUUUUACUAUUUGUGAUAAUUUAUUCCUUUCGAGCUAUGCUCAGAACUAAUUUUAUUCUCAUUCAUUGUUAUGACAUUUUUUGCAAGCAUGUUGCAUUGGAAUAAUGAUCAAUGAACUAAUAUAACUUUCACAAGGGAAGUUUUUCAUAUUACCCUAGAAGUUUCUAAAUAAUACGGGAACCUGAAACAGAACUAUUGUUUAGAAUGUACCAAGUUUAAAGGUUGGAAAUCUAAGAGGGAAAAGUCUAAAUUGAGACUAUCCCUUUAGAUUUUGUUGUCAAAGCAUUGAUGGAACAAAAUGGCAAGAUGUCAGGUUGGUGAAAAAGCUUAAAUGAACAAGCAAGCAAUGAUCACCAGACAAUGGGAAGAGGUUUUCUCGGAGAGGAAAACUUUCAUUUGUGCAUGAGCCUUUGGUAUGAUACCUUGGGAAUGGUGUAACUGACCAGAGAGAUUUAGAUCCUGCGUCCUUGAAUUGUGAUAGGAAAGGAUUGAGGAAAAGCCAUAUAUUUCUACCCUUGGGUUAUAGUGGGAGAACGAUGGUAUGAAUUUUUGCGCCCCAAUAGAUUAAACUUUGAGGUUUCCAGUGGGGUCAACAUGACUAAAUGUUUCUUCAGAAAAGCCAGCCAAGCAAGAAGGCGUUGUAGCACGUCAGUGUUAAAGCCUUAAUAAUCUUCGAAUAAUGACAACCUAGGUGGGAUCAUUCUCGAAAAAAAAAACUAUGCAUUCAUGCAAACACCAUUCACACAUGUCUAGUUAGGAGCAUUUUAUGCCAUCCCAAUCAUUAGGCAUAAAUAGGUUCAUUAUACAGGUCGCGUUCCCCAGAGAGCAGAUCAGUAAAAAUAACAGAUCUUGCCUUCCUUCACCGACAACGAAGCAGAUCGAAGACACCAGCCUUGCCUCCUUGGGAUACAGCGGAGCAGGUUAAAAAUAGCAGAUCUUGCCUUCCUGCAUCGACAGUGAAGUAGAUCGAAGACACCAGCCUUGCCUCCCUGGGUUGCAGCGGAGCAGGUAAAAAACAACAGAUCUUGCCUUCCUACACCGACAGCGAAGCAGAUCGAAGACACUAGCCUUGCCUCACUAGGUUGCAGCGGAGUAGGUUAAAAAUAACAGAUCUUGCCUUCCUGCACCGACAGCGAAGCAGAUCGAAGACACCAGCCUUGCCUCCCUGGGUUGCAGCGGAGCAGGUUAAAAAUAACAGAUCUUGCCUUCCUGCACUGACAGCGAAGCAGAUCGAAGACACCAGCCUUAUCUCCUUGAGCAACAGUGGAGUAGGUUGAAAAUUACAGAUCUUAUCUCCCUAAGCAGUAGUGGAGCAGAUCAAAGUCCCCAGCCUUGUCUCCCUGGGCAGCAGUGGAGUAGGUUGAAAAUUACAGAUCUUAUCUCCCUAAGCAGUAGUGGAGCAGAUCGAAGUCCCUAGUCUUGUCUCCCUGAACAGCAAUGGAAUAUGUUGAAAAUUACAUAUCUUAUCUCCCUAAGCAGUAGUGGAGCAGAUCGAGGAUGGUAAAUCUUAUCUCCCUGAGGUUGCAGUGGAGCAGAUUAAAACCGAUAAUCCUAUCUCCCUGAGGUUAUAGCGGAGCGGAUUAAAAUAACAGAUCUUAUCUCUCUGAAAUUAUGGUAGAGAAGAUUGUAUCAGAUUUAUCUUUAAGUUACAGCAGAUCGAGUUAAGAGCCAUAAGUCUUGUCUCCCUGAAGUUGCAGUGGAGUAGAUAGCAAAUUUUGUGCUCUUGAGAAACUACAACGUACAAAUCCUAUCUCCCUGAUAUUGCAAUGAAGUAGAUUGAAGCAUUAGCUCCUAUGCAGUAGGAGGGAAUGGAGCUACUUGAAGCAAAAAGAACCCCGAAGUUUAGCAUGGUCAGGCAAAAUUGGCCAUUUCUAAAGUCUUUGCUUCGUUCUCGUUACACAAUAACGAGCAAAGAGGGGCAGCUGUAAUGGGACAAUUUUGGCCUGGCUAAAAAAUCAUUUACAUAGCCCAAAUAAUUCAGCCCAAUAAGGCCCAAAUUGCUAGCCCUAAUCUGCUAGCCCAAAAAACACAAAGAGUAUAGCAGAAACCCUAAUAGCCACCACAGCAAUCUCAUCCUUGCACGCCACCGCAAAUGUCGCAUAUGCACCUCCAACCAUACCUGCACAUCAAGAAAGAAAUAAAUAGUACAUGGAAAGAAAAAUCCAAAGAUUGCGAAUCAAGAUCGAUAUGAACAGAUUUACUCUCAAUGUUAUUGUUUUAUUAUGGCUAUAAAAAAAGCCAUUGAUACACUGUAAUGAGGGGCCGAAAAAUCAAUAAAAAAGAAGCAUUUUUACAGCACCAACAAAGAAUCAAUCGAAACUAAAGGUGGAUAUUUUCGUUUUGUUAUUUUUUUAUACACUGAUAUUAAAUAAAAUAAAAGAGAGAACUUAUCUGGGUUCGGACCUGCGGCAUUGUGGGCGAUCGAGGGUGCCACCCCCAAGGAUUAGUGGCCGGAAACUGAAAGGUUUCUGGACUCCCUUGCGGUUUUUGAUGGUUUUUUUGGGACUUUUGAACCCGGAUUCGGGUUUAGAGAGGUCGAGGGAGCCGAAUAGGGAAUUUUCCCCUUUUUCGACCACCGUAGACGGUGGUACUGGCGCCAGAGAUCGGCGACUGGCAAGGUGGCCGACGACUGGCCGAUGAUCGGACUGGAGGCCGGACGACUGGGAAAGGGGAGACUUUUGAAGUGUUUUUUUUGUUUUUUUUAAAAGAGGCUGCAAAUGAAAAUUUUUAGAGUAGUGGCUUAAAUAGCCCUCCAAAACGGUGUCGUUUUGGACAUGGGUGGACCCGACUCAGACCCGACCCGGCCUAGGAUCCGCGUGUUUUUGCGCGGAGGGGUAAAUUGCGCUUUUAGCCCCUCCGCCUUUUAAUAUUUUUACAAUUAAGUUUAUUUUAUUUUUAAAUUUCAUCUUUAAUUUAUUUUUAAUUUCAAUUUGGUCUCUGUGGAAGGUCGCCGUUUAGAGGAAAAGGGAAAAUUUCCCUUCAGUCCUUUCAUGAUUAUUCGCGCGUUCAAUACAGUCCUUUGGGAUUUAAUUAUUUGCGAAUUUGCCCCAGUUUUUUAUUUUACAAUUCAAUUUAGUUUUUUUAUUUUUUUAUUCAUUGAUAAUGUAAUUAUUAUUUUCACAUGUAAUUAUUUUUUCUUUUUUUAUAUAUAUGUAUAUUUAUGUAUAUUUAUUUCCAUGUAUAUAUACGUAUAUUUUUGAAUAUAAUGUAGUUAUUAUUUAAUUUAUUUUUAUAUAUAAUUGUAUAAAUGUAUAUAUGUACAUAUUUAUUUUUAUUUUUUUCAAGCUAAUAUUUGUUAUAUUUAUAUAUACACAUAUUUAUUUUCGAUCAUGUAUUUAUUAUUUUUAAUCUAUAUAUAUUGUAAAAAAACAAAUAUUCUUUUAUAUUUAUGAACACGUAUAUAUCCCUUUUUUAUUUUCAAAAAAUGCUUAAAUAUCUACUUAUAUUUUAACACAUAUUUUAUAAUAUAUAUAUUUCUAUACUCUUCUUUAUUUUCACAAAUAUGUAUUUUGUUUAUAUAAAUUUUUAUAAUCUAAAUUUUAUGUAUAAAUUCAUGUGUAUUCUUCAUAGUUUUAAUGUAUAUGUCAUGUACCUUUUAUUCUUUAUAUUUUUUUUAUUUUUUUAUUUAUUUAUGUUUUCAUUAAUUUUUUUUCUUGCUCGUUUAUUUAAUACUUUGCAUGUCAUUAACUUUUUUCUCCCUUAUGUAUAUUUGUUUCGUUUAUUCAUUUGUUUAUAUUAUUUCUAUGCUAUUGUUGUAUUUGUUAUCACGAUAUUUGCACAUAUAAUAUAACGUUACAUCAUUUUUCACUCAAAUUUAAAAAUAGAAAAUUUUCAAAAUUGAGAUAAUGCUCGUAUUUAGGAUUUUCAAGGAAAUUGAGCCCUAACGUAUUGGGUUCCGAUUUUCUUCGUUAAAUCUAACAAUCGAGCAUUUCUCUUUAAUCAAAAAAAUAAGAACUCAUUAUUGGGAAUUCAACACGUUGUGUCCUAACGUAUUGGAUGUGACACAUUGAUUUCUCGAAAUGAAGAUUUUUUCUAAAAAAUAAUAAAGGAAAUAUUCCGAGUUUGGGAUUUUGGAGGAAUUGUGCCCUAACGUAUUGGGCCGCGAUUUCUUAAAUCUUGAAUAAAUGGAUAUUUUUUUAAAUUUUUAUUACACGAGUAUUCUGGCCUAAUUCAUUUUUGAGGAAAUUAGAAUGUCGUGCCCUAACGCAUUGGGUGUGACAUUUUCUUUUAGUGAAAUGAUAAGGGUCUUAAUACGUAACGUUUUUAAGUUUUUGCUAAGGAUUAUAUUUUCAAAUUUUCGACAUUAAGGCAUUAAUUAAUUAACUAGGUACCAAUUUUUGGGCGUAAUGAAGGUGCUAAUCCUUCCUUAUACGUAACCGACUCCCGGACCCAUUUUUCUAAAAUUCGUAGUCCAAAGUCGUUUUUAGGUGACCCAAUCACACCUUAAUAAAAGGUUGGUGGCGACUCCCAAUUCUUCCAAUUUUAAUCAACAACUAAUUUUUGUUUUUUUCCAAAAAUAAAAAUAGUUUUGAGGAAAACAAAUGUCUAAGAUGGCGGAUUUUGCGACUACUGAAACAUCUUCAUAAUAUUCUAAAGUUGUAGUUGGAGUGCGUCGUACUUUCUGCUCUGCUCUACUUCCCUCGCUACUGCCUUCACUUUAAAUUGUAGCUGGAGUUCUUCAUAUUUUCUUUGAACCUCAACUUCUCUCGAUGCUGUCUUCGCUUUAAGUUGAGCAAAUUGCUCAACUGUGCUCACUUGCACCUGAGCCAUCUGGUCUCUUAACCUUUGAUCUUCAGCUUGAGCCUGACUUCCCGAAGGCAUGUAUUGUUGCGAGCUGGAUCCAAAUUAUUGGGUUGGGUUAACAAAAGAUCCUUGAAAUCGAACCCGACCAUACCUUUCAGGACCCAAAACUUCAGUAAUAAUCUGAUUAUCAAUGUCGUCAACAUUAAUAGAACUAUCACCCGAAGCAAUCGCUUCAUACUCUUCCUUUUUAUCCUUUAGUUUCUCCUAAAAAAUCAAUCAAAAAGUUAGAAACGAAAUAUAUAAUAAAAACAAAUGCAACAUAACUUAACAUUAUUUGCAUUACAAACGACGAAUUAAACCAUUAUAAUUAAACACUAUAAAUAUUCAAAAUAAUUCAAAUUUUAUUAAGUAAACAUACCAUAAUUUCUGUAGCUUCAAAAGUCAUAGGAGAUUCAUCUUUUUUCCUAUGUGUAAUGUCAAAAAGCUGAAGGCGUCCGACUUUUUGACUAGAUGACAGUUCCUACAAUAUAAUAGUAAAAAUAUUAUUUAAUAGAAAGUAAUAAAUAUUUGACACAAUUAAUAAAUUCAAAAUACCUCGACCUCAGCUACACAAGCAAAACUUUUUAACCCAACUGUGUGAGUGAAUUUCUGUUUUUGCCUGCUGCUUGUUCCAACUCGUUCACGAUCCUACAUUAUGAAAUUAUUAUUACGUAUAUAGUAAAUACUAUAAACUGAAACAAUUAUAAAAGUUUGGAAGUACGUAAUACCUCUCCUUUCUUUGAAUUCCAAAAUCUAACCGCAUCUUCCCAUUGGUACCUCAACAUUCCCGACAACACAUUUUGCAAUUUCUCUUCGAGGGUUGUUUUUGUCUUAAAAUAUUCUUUCUUUAAAGUACUUUUAUGGUCUCUCCAUCUUUUUCCCAAUGCCUUCUUGACAUAAUUAUCGGAGACCUCUAAAGCAAACCUCUCCUACAAAAAACACAAGUUUAAAAAGUAAAUAUAAAUGAAACUUAAACCAAAGUUUUAUAAAUUACAUUCACGUUUUGUUACCUUAAUAUUAUUGAGAGCUUCAUUUUUGUUACUAUCAGGCAUUUGAUGCCAUGAGUCAUAGUUGAUAGGCAACAUAUUGACAUUUCGUGCUAUAAUGCACAAAUAUCCUACUAAAAGUCGAGCUUCUGAUCCAACAGGCUGACCAAGAUUGUUUCUAGAUACUUUGACACGCUCGACAUGAUUUAACUCGUAUAAAUCUUUAAGUAGCGUACGUCCUCGACCUCUGCGCGUCCCACCAGUUUCAGCUGAAAAAUGGUAUAUUAUAAUAUAAGAAUUUGAAAAAGAAAUCAAUAAUAAAAGUCAACACACAUGUAAAUUAAAUUUAACAUUACUUUGAAUUUCUGCAGGUUCAUCAGGUAUAUUUGGAACAUUCGAAGAUCCAAUAGCAGUCUGUUGUUCACUAUUUGUUUCUUCCAAAUUUGGAGUAUUUUGAACAAUACUUAGAUCUCGCAAUCUUCUUUUAGGCAUUUUAUCUGCAAUACACAUAAAAUAGUUGAAAUUUUAGUAACUAAUUACAACAAUAAUAGUACAUAUAAAAUAGUUAAAAUAUUUAACAAGACCAAGAUUUAAAUUAUGAUAUUACAUAUAAUUAAAAUCUUACUACAUCAUAAUUCGUAAAUAUCUUCAUCAACAUCCUGACGAACCCAUUGAAAUUGUGUACUAGUACUAGAGAUAUUUUCAUUUAAGUUUUGUUCUGGAAAAGGCAAAAUUUCUGAUCUUUCGUUGAUGUCAUCUCUACUUCCAUUGCCCAUGUCAAACAAGUCUCUAGGGGUGUUACGGAGUACAACGCACCAACCCUCAUCAGUUGGAUCUUUCGAGUAAAAAACUUGUUUCACUUGAGAAAAAAAUACAUACAGCUCAUCUAUCAGUUGUUGUCCAGUGUGAAUCAAUCGAGAGAAGUUCACCAUUGUAAAACCAAAUUGAUCUUUUUUAAUUCCGUGAGCAGUAUUAACAUCAACCCAAUCACAUCGAAAUAAGACAACUUUCCAUUUGCCAUAGUAAUCCAACUUAAUAAUGUCAGUAAGAAGUCCGUAAUACUCCACAUUUCCAUCAUCAGGAUUACUAUCCCUAGCACUAGCAUAACUUGUAAUUGAAGAAUUAACAAAUAUUCCACAAUUUUGAGUUCUCCUCAAUCUCUCGCGAUAUUUUGUAUGAAAUCUAAAUCCAUUGAUGAGAAAGGCACUAUAUCUUUAAAAUUAGUAUUUCAAGAUUUGGAUUUAGAUUUUUAAAAUAAUGUAAAUUGAGUAAUAAGUUAUUUAAAAAUAUAAUAUUUAUAAUUAUUUUAAUAUUUUAAUAUUAGAAUCAAACAUUAUUAAUAUAAAAAAUUAAUUAGUAUUAAAUAUAUAUUUUUAGUCGAAAAGAUAGUAUUUAAUCAUAUAACAAAUUUAAUCAUAUGAUUUGGGGAAAGAAACGACGCCGAAUGAGUCAAAUAUCUGAAUAAAACAGAAUUCCUAUUACUUUGGCAAUAUAUAACCCUUAUAAAUUGACAACAAAUUAAUUAAACAGAUUAUAAUUACUGUACAAGCUUAAACAUAUUGUUCCUAUUCCAUUACUUGUCAAAGAAACCCACCAUCUAGCAGUAUAUCAUAUUUGAAACUAGCUUAAACAUAUUGUUCCUAAAAUAACAAGGGAUAAACAUUAUUACAGCAUCAGUAUAAUUGAUGAAUAAUCAAGUCUACAAAAAAGAUAACACUACAUUAGAUUAAGAAAAUAAUAAUCUUUUUUAGUGGAAUUACUUUCGUUGCUAUUUUAAGAACCCAACGCUACAUUAGAUUAGGACAACAAUUGAAUUUUAAAUAUAAAUAGCACGAAAGCUUGAACUCCGAUUCAAAGUUAAAUACUCAAAAUUCAGUUCAAGCUCUUAACUCAAGAAACAAUCGAUGCUUGAUGAGUGUCGUUAACUGAUUUCCCAAUACUCAGAACUCCAAUUUGAACUGGAAAUUAAGCUUUUGCAUAUACAAAAACAAAUUUGUAAAGAAAUGAACUUUUUAGCUGCGCAUUACACUUCGCAAAGCCCUGAUUCACUAGAAUAAGUAAUUUUAUUUUAAUUUUAAGAAAAAAAAACCUAAUUUAUCCACAUCCGAUGUUUUUUCGAGCAAUUAGAAAACAAAAUGAACUAAAAAGGAGCUUAUUUGUCGCAAAUAAAACCCUAAAUCAACAAAUAUUAAAUUAAUUAAGAUUAUAAUAAAACAUUAGAAGAUUUAAAAUAGAAAACCUAGUCCUUUUGGUGUUCAUGACUGUCUCUAGAAAUAGAAGCGGUAAUUUUAGGGCAGAGGAGUGUGACGGUGAUGCGGCAGAGGAGACAGUGGAUAGCGAUGCAGUAGACGGUCGGCGAAAAUCAAAGGGAUUUUGAAAUUUCAGGAUUUCGAUUUGCGGGAAAAAUUAAGGGAUUUGGAAAUGCCAAAUUUUUAAGGGAAAAAUUAAGGGAUUCGGGCUUUAGGGAUAUAAAGUAAGGGAUUUUGGGGUUAUGGUUUAGGGGAAGGAGAACAGAUAGAAUUCAAGGAGCAAAACGGUGACGUUUUGUUUAAAAUAAAAUGAUAAAAUGCCACUAUUUGAUAAAAAUGCCGCUAUUUGCUUACCUUUUGCGGCGUUUUUCUCAUAAACGCCGCUAAUGCCUUUGAUACUAAUAAAUAUUUAAAGUUAAGAUUCAAUCCAAUUUUCUUCUUGUUUAUAUAUUUGAAAGGUUUAAUUAUUUCUUAAAUUCCUUUAAAUUAAGUUUAUUUUGUCUCAAACAAUAUAUUUAAUUUUUAAAUUUUGUAAUUGUGUAAGAAAUUAAUUUUAAAAACUGAAACCAAACUUCCUUACGAAGAGUUUGUAUCCACGAGUUUAAUUUUUUGUGCAGCUGAUAGAAUUUAUCCAAUUUGAUGAUUUUGAUAAAUUAUAUUAACUGUCUAAACCCUAAACCUUAAACAAUAAACUUUAAUCCCCUAACCCCUAAAACCCUAACCCCUAACCCUUAAACACAACCAUAAAUUAUAAACACUAAACACUAAACCCUAAACCUACACCCUAAAUUAUAACCAUUAAACUCUUAACACUAAACCCUAAACCUUAAACCCCAACCCCCUAAAUCCUAAACCUUAAAACUAAACCAUAAACUCUAAAUCCUAAACUCUAACCCUUAAACCCCUAACACCUAAACCUUAAACCAUAAACAUAAACCAUAAACCAUAAACAUACACCCGAAAUCGUAACCAUUAAACUCUUAACACUAAAUCCUAAACCUUAAACCCCAAACCAUAUACCUACACCCUAAAUAUAUAUAUUACAAGGGACAAAAGUAAUUAAAAAAAUCUUAUUGCUUACAUAAAUCACAAACAUGCAAAAUAACUGAAUCCCUAUACAUGGCAUAACUUCAACAUAUUUCAUCAUAAAAUACCGAGCAAUUGUGGUUGAUAGUGUGGACGAUCUCUGACUUCUUUAGGAUCCUUGAAGUAGCUUGCAAUACUAUACGAGGAAGAGAAAUAAAAGAAGUAAGCAUAAAGCUUAGUAAGUUUACUAGCAAAUAAAUAACAUUAAACACAAAUAAUUAAACUCAAAUGACUAUAUCUCUAGUUUACUCUUUAGUUAAUCUCAUUCUAGUUCUCUUGCUUAUUUACUUAGAAUACUUGUGUGCAUAACUUACUCAUCUCUUGCUGCAUCAUUGAACAUCAAUUGAUAGUAUAAUAAGUUCUUAACUCUUAUAACUUACCUGAGCUUGCCAUUUAUGCUUUAAACUGAACUUUCAUGAAUAUGAUUCGCUUAUUAGCCCGUUAAGCUACAUUGGAACAAUAAGGAUACUCGGGUCUCUUCUGAUAAUAACAUGCCAAAGCCAUGUCCCAGACAUGGUCUUACAUGGGAUGUUCUCAUCUCGGUACCCAUGCCAUGUCCCAGACAUGGUCUUAUAGGGGACCUCUCAUCUCGGUGCCAACGUCAUGUCUCAAACAUGGUCUUAUAUGGGACCUCUCAUCUCGGUGCCAACGCCAUGUCCCAGACAUGGUCUUACAUGGGACCUCUCAUCUCGGUGCCAACGCCAUGUCCCAGACAUGGUCUUACAUGUGACCUCUCAUGAUCUCAAGGAUGCCAAUGCCAUGUCCCAAACAUGGUCUUACAUGAGAUCUCUUUACCCAAAUGUCAUGACAUUUGUAUCCAAUACUAUUCUUAUGUAUCAACGGGACUUUUUAAUUUUUAUUCUCUACCAUUUCAUGCUUGGGUCAUCAUCAAAUAAAUUUAUGAAAUAAAUAUAUAAUUACUGGAAAAUAACAACAUUAAUAAUUUCUUAUCUUCGUUCUCAAAUCUGUAUUGAUAGUUCCAUUUUAAGUGGUAGUGACAAUUCUAAUGAUAAUUAUAUUUAUAAUUACAUUUGCGGCGAAGGUGGAAAUAGUAGUGAAGGCAAGAAUUUCGAUAUAAUAACUCGUGAAAAUGGUAAUGAUUUCACUCUAAAAGAAAGUUCUAAUGAUCUCAAUCUAUACAAGGAUUUGUGGGUUCAAUGCGAAUGCAAAAAUUGUUAUGGAGUAAAUUAUAAGAAAUCGCUUAAUUCAAAAAUGAAUAUUUGUGAACAAUGUUGAUAUCAUUUGAAAAUGAGGAGUUCAGAUAGAAUCGACCUUUCGAUUGAUCCAGGCACUUGGGGUCCUAUGGAUGAAGACAUGAUCUCUUUGGAUCCCAUUAAAUUUCAGUCUGAAGAAGAGUUUUAUAAAGAUCGUAUUGACUUUUAUCAAAGAAAGACAGGAUUAACUGAGGCUAUUCAAAUAGGUACGGGUCAACUAAACGGUAUUCCUAUAGCAAUCGGGGUUAUGGAUUUUCAGUUUAUGGGGGGAGUAUGGGAUCCGUAGUAGGCGAGAAAAUCACCCGUUUGAUCGAAUAUGCUACCAAUAAUUUUUUACCUCUUAUUCUAGUGUGUGCUUCCGAAGGAGCACGCAUGCAAGAAGGAUGUUUGAGCUUGAUGCAAAUGGCUAAAAUAUCUUCUGCUUUAUAUGAUUAUCAAUCAAAUAAAAAGUUAUUUUAUGUAUCAAUUCUUACAUCUCCUACUACUGGUGGAGUGACCGCGAGUUUUGGUAUGUUGGGGGAUAUCAUUAUUGCUGAACCCAAUGCCUAUAUUGCAUUUGCGGGUAAAAGAGUAAUUGAGCAAACAUUGAAUAAAACAAUACCGGAAGGUUCACAGGCGGCUUCUUUUUGAAUGCUAAAUCUCUUUUUACAGCAAUCCAAAAUCACUCCAUGUUCAGAUAACCAAUCCAUUCUUAGUAUUAUAUUAAAAUCCCCAAAUGGCAUAAUCAACAGGUCAACAGGAAAAGUUUUAUUCUGUAUAAUUAACGAGUAUCUUAGACAAACCUGAUUCACUACUACUGUUUGCCCCAAUGGACUCGACACUUCUACAGACACUCUAGACAUCUCAGAUUUAAAUUUUCCCAGUUCAACUAAUUUUGAAUUUAUAUAAGAGUGUGAAGAUCCGAGAUCAAUAAAAGCAUAAAUAAGCUUAGAAUACAGUAAAAAUAUACAUGUUACUACAUCGUGGGUAUCGCCUUCUUCCCGAGUUCUAACCACGUAAGCUCUAGCGGGUACUUUAGCUUCAGAUUGUUGGGUAACAAUAUCACUGCUCUUCCUAACACCUCCUUCUCUAGAAAUCGAACUACCUCUACCUGACCCUCUGCCUCUAGCAGUAGAUACUAAUCUCUGUGAUGUCACGGGUGCAACACUAUCAGUUUUCAGACAAUCUCUGAUCAAAUGGUCUGUAGAACCACAUUGAAAACAACCUCUAGUUAAUUUCCAGCACUCCCCUCUGUGUUUCUUUCUACGGUGCUGACAGUCUGGAAUUUCUACACUCCGAGGUGGACCACUCACACUACCAGUAGAUACUGUUGUCUGUUUCCCUCUACUUCUACCACCUCUAUCUGAUCUAAAACUGGAUCUCCAACCACCUUAGGAUUCCUUUGAUCUUUUUGGCUGUGGAUUUGAACUUGUAGUUCCUGCACGUUUCCUGUUUAAUCUGACACUUUCAAUCUUUUUAUCGAGGCCUAACACUUGCUCUACCAUUUUGGCACGCUCAAUCAAAUCUACAAGCUCAAUAAUCCGGUGAGAUACUAACUGUACCUUGAUCUCGUCUCGCAAACCCCGUAAAAAUCUUUUGCAACUAUCAGCUUCUGUUGGAAUAAACUCGGAGGCAUAUCUACUGAGUCUUGAGAAUUCUCUCUCAUAAUCUAUUACCGACAUAUCACCCUGUUGUAACAUUAAAAACUCUUGUUUCUUGUCCUCGAUAUACAUCUCUUCGACAUAUUUCUUUUGAAAUUUUCCUCAGUUCUUUUAUCGGGGCCCGUAUUUGAGUAGGUGCUGAAGUUGUAGCAGGAGUAGUUCUUGCUACUCUUUAUAGUGGAUCGGUAAUUACUCAUAAUAUAUCAGAAUCAUAUCUAUCAUUUCUUCUAGGUGGAUUUCUUACUGGAUUUAUGCUAGGUGUAACUGACUCCGUUUCAUCUAAUCUAUACGACUACUCGUCUCUGGUAUACAUUUCUUCAUCGAUAUCAUUUAUUCUUUCAUCAGACAUCUUUAAUCUAUAAAACAGAAACAAACAAUUAGGUUAGCAUCCAAGAAUCCUGACUCAGUUUUGAUUCAUCAGUGGCAUGUACCUCUAGACUCAAUUCCGAGCCUGAUUUAGACUGAGAAUUGACUAAACCUGAUAGCUCUGAUACUAAUAAAAUGUAACACCUCCUAACCCUAAUCUGUCGUCGAAAUAGGGUUACGAGGCAUUACCGGACAUAUCAGAAAAUCUAUAAAUAAUUUGUUAAAUAAAUAACAAACAUAUUAUAAUAUAAUCGUAAAUUCAUAUAAAUAUUUAUUUUACUAAUUGACUUCAUUAUUAUUAUUUUAUUUUAUGUGAUUAAAAAAACUCAAUAUAACCCCUUUAUAAAUAUUUAACCUUCCCUGUAAUUUCAAACAGCAACCAAUUCACAAUUCAUACAAAUUCAUGUUCAAAUAACGUAAACAUAUCUUAAAAAUUAACUUAGUAAUUUACUAAAUAAAUAUUCGCAUAUAUUGUUUAAAUAAAUAAACUUCAUUCAUUCAAUUUCAGUUUUAGCACCAAACAUACCAUUUUAUAACUUAACGUUUCAUUUAUCAUUAGAACAUUAGAGACCAAUUCUUUACAACCAAAACUUACAAGACUCUUUAAUAAGACCAAAGUACAUGCCACAUUUACCAAAGGAAAAAUACAUCACCAAAGUUACGCUGAAGUCGGGAUUGAUUUGGAUGCUGAACCGGGACCUUUGACUUCUAUCAACCUGCGCACGGAAACAACUAUACGCUGAAUAUUUCAUACUCAGUGGUAUUACCAUAAUUCAAAUUAUAACAGUAAUAAACAUGUAAUGCAUAAAUCAUACAUACAAAUUUAAAUUUAAAUUCAAAUUUAAUAUUUCAACAAUAACAAUUCAUCAAAUAAUAUCAUAUGUCCAUAAUUUUAAACUUGGACACAUCAUGAACCUUAGGUUCAUUCCUCAAUUCCAUAUCACAUUUCAAUUCGCAAUUUAACUUUUUCAUCUCAAUUCAGUAACUCGAUUGAUCAAUUCAUUCGGUUUAUCAUUUCAUUAGUUACCCUAUUAACAAAAUUCAGACUUUGGCAGAUACACGGAUCCAACCAAACACUCCAGUAUGGCACCCAGUGCCUCAUCGGAUAGUUCGAAGCAAUAGUUGACACCCAGUGUCUCAUCGGCAAAGCUGAAGAAAGUUGGUACCCAGUACCUCGUCGAAUCUGUAACAACCCGGUUUUGACCCUAAUCGGAAUAGUAGUUUCGGGACCACAAAUCUGAGUCUAAAAAAUAUUUUAAUAAUAUUUUAUGUGUUUAUUAUGUGUGAAUUUAUUUGUGUGAAAAUUUCGUGUGAAAAUUUUAUCGUUUGUGUGCUCGAUUUUAUAAAAGGACUUAAUCGCGUAAAAUGCAAAAGUGGCUAGCAAUUUGUUAAAGUACUAUAUUGCCAUGGCUUUUAUAAUGUGGGGUCCUUAUGUUGAUAUUAUACCAUUGAAAUUUUGAGUGGAUUUUUAUGGACAUGGUUAGUUAAUUAUUAAAGUAAAAUCAUUAAGGUUAGUUUUGUAAAUUAGUUAAAUAUGUUAAUAUAAUAAAACAUAAAAUAAAAGCCAUGCAUGUUAUUCAUCUUUUUGGCUGAAUGUGAGAAGAAAAGAAAGUCAUUUACCUUGUUAAGGGUUCGGCACUUUCAAGUUUGGAUUAAGGUAUGGAUUUAGUUCGAUUUUUGAUAAAUUUUAUGUUUUUGAGAUCGUUGCUUUGAAUACUUCACAACCCAUGUCUUAAUUUUGUGAAUUGUUGAUGAUUUUAAAAUGUGCUAUUGAUGAAUGCUUGAACAUUGUGAUAGUUGAUGAUGAAAAAUGAAAGAAAUGUGACAGAUUAACAUAUUUUGUCUUUGAAUUUUUAGUGAAUUUGAGAAAUUAGAGCUAAAUUGUGAAAAUGAAUUCUUGAGGGAUUAAAAUGUGAAAUAAAUGAAAUGUGUGGACUUGUAUGAAGACAAGGAAUAGUUGACCCUAGCUUAGUGUGGGCAAAUUUUGUGUAUUUUGUGUUUUGUGCAAAAAGGAUUAAAUUGCAAAAAGUGUAAAAUGUUAGGGGUAAAAUAGUAAUUUGCCCAUUCAUGUAUUUUUGGACUAAAUUGAAUUUUUUGAUGAAUAAAAAGGUUAAAUUUGAUUAUGUUUAGAUCAAGAAACGAAGAAAACGAAUUUGGAUCGGGGGAAAACGAAAAUAAUUGAAUAGUCGAUCUUGUCCGCUGAUAUCCGAGGUAAGUCUAAUAGCAAAUAAACAUCAUUACAUUAGUAUAUAUAUGUUCUAUAAGCAAAAAUAUAAUGGUAUGAAUUGUAUAAAAGUGUUAGCUGAAUGUAUAUAUAUGUUUUGAAUUUUAUAAGUUAAAAAUAAAAUGUAUGAAUUGUAUAUAUAUAUGUGUGUUAGUUAAUGUAUAUUUGAGUUUUAUAAGUUAAAAUAAAUUACAGAAAUUCUAUAUAUAUUUAGCCGAAUAUAUAUAUGCUGGGUUUUGUAAGUUGAAUGAAAUUUAAUAAAUUACAUAUAUGUUAGCCGAAUGUAUAUAUAUGUUUUGAAUUUUAUUAAAAUGUAUGAAUUGUAUAUAUAUAUGUGUUAGUCAAUGUAUAUUUGAGUUUUAUAAGAUAAAAUAAAUUGCAUAAAUUCUAUAUAUAUUUAGCCGAAUAUAUAUAUGCUGAGUUUUGUAAGUUGAAUGAAAUUUAAUGAAUUGGAUAUAUGUUAGCCGAAUGUAUGUAUUGAAUUCGAUUGGUUGAAAUUAAUCAUAUGAAUUAUAUGUAUGUUAGCCAAUGUAUGAUUUGAGUUCGAUAAUUUGAAGCUUAUAGUAUAAAAAUAUAUAUAUAAUAACCGAAUGCAUGUAUGAGUUCUAUGAGCUGAAUUUAAUGAUAUGAACUAUAGAUAUGUUAUUCGAAUGUAUGUUUGCUACGAAGGUUGGAAUAUAAUUCGAUUUUUGCUGAGAUACGAUUAUUGAAAAGAUUUAUAUGAGAUAUAAAGAAUAUCUAGAUUUUCUUAUAAAGAAUUUUGUGAAAGACCAAUUUCAUAUCCGUGGUAUUCAGGCUCGAUGCCUAGCAGGCUUAAUGCCGGUGAAUUAUUUCAGACUUUAUGUCUAGCAGGCUUAAUGCCGGUGAAUUAUUUCAGAUUUUAUGUCUAGCAGGCUUAAGGCCGGUGAAAUGAUUCGGACUUUAAGUCUAGCAGGCUAAGUGUCGGUGAUCUGAAUCAGGUUAUAAACCUAGCAGGCUAAGUGCCAGUGAUCUGAAUCAGGCUAUAAGCCUAGCAGGCUAAGUGCCGGUGAAUAUGUUAAAUUAAGUGAUUAUAUGCAUUUGAUAUAUAUAAAUAUAUAAAUGAUUUUGGGUUAUAUAUAAUGGAUAAGUAAAUGAACAUUUAUUUAUAUGUAUUUGAUGAGCAUAUAAAUGUUUGGAUCUAUGUGUUUAGUGAAUAGGCACAUAUAUUGGUUGUUAUGAAAAUUGUUGAAUAUACAUGUAUGCAUUCGGCACAUGUGGGUUAGAAGUAUAAAUGUGCAUUUGGUUCAUGUAGUUGAUAAAUAAAAAUAUAAGCUUUUGACAUAUGUAUUUGUAAGAUCAUAGAUAUGCAUUCGACGAAAUGCAAAUGAUAAGUAUAUUAGAAAUUAGUAUAUGCAAUUAAUGAUUAUGUUUGUAACUUGAUUAUAAGCAUAUAAUGUUUAUACAUAUGUUCGUUUAUAUGUAUUUUUAAUAUGCUAUAAACUUACUAAGCUAUAAAAGCUUACUUUGAUUGUUUUUGUCCAUUUUUUUUAUAGAUAAAAACCAAGUUGUAGACUUGGGGAUCGUUAGUGAAGAUCAUCACUCUAUCUACUAUCUCAGUAUUAAAACGUUUAAAUUUUAACUUAUGGCAUGUAUAGGCUAAAAAAAAUAUUUUGGGAGUCGUACUUUAAUGUACUGUAUAUAUAUAAUUAAUAGCCAUAUGAAACUAGCUUAUUUUUCUUACGGUUUAACUGAACUGAAAUGUUUUGUUUUGUUAUAAAAGGUUAAAGUAAAAAUUUAUAAUUAUACUUACUUCAUAUUUUACUAAUUUAACAUAAAUGUAAAAUUCUUGAAUUCAAUUCUACUGAAUGUCUGUGUUAAGUUGCAUUUUAUCUUGUAACGAUUUGUAAUCCUAAUUUAUCGGCGUAUACGGGUUAGGAGUGUUACAUUUUAUUGGUAUCAAAGCUACGACUUAGUCGAUUCUAGGACUAACGUAGCGUGUAUGAGUCUAGCUAUACAUGCCAUAAUUUAUACUGAGAUAGUGCGAUGACUUCUGACAUCUAAAAAUGUGUUUUCGUAUAGUAAUGGAUCCCGAUCGACUGUAGCUGAUGAUGUUGAGAGUAUAACGCCUGCUCCCGUACAAGGGACAGAGCUGGUAGAUUCUAGACCAACUUCGAGUAACCAGGAGGGAGAGGCUAAACAAGCCUUCUACCAAAUGAUGAACGACUGGUUUACUCAAUAUAUUCGGACUAAUCCGGUUGCACAACAACCUCCACCCCCGAUUAAUCCAUCUUCAGUUCCUGUUAUAGCUCAAGUGAGUGAUUUGAUGAGAUUACUUAAGCCUCCUGUUGAUAAAAUUUGAAAACACGGGGCCGAAGAGUUCAGAGCUACUAAUGAUGAUGAUGCUGAGCGAGCUAAAUUCUGGCUUGAUAAUACUAUUCGAGUAUUUGAUGAGUUAUCUUGUACCCCUGAUGAGUGCUUGAACUGUGCCAUAUCUUUGCUACGGGACACUGCACAUCACUGGUGGAAUACACUAGUAUCGGUGGUUCCGAAAGAGCGAGUGACCUGGGAAUUCUUUCAGACUGAGUUCCGUAAGAAAUACAUCAGUCAGAGAUUCAUUGAUCAAAAAUGCAAGGAAUUUCUUGAAUUGAAACAGGGUCAGAUGACAGUGACAGAAUAUGAGCAGAAAUUUGUGAGACUCAGUAGAUAUGCUCGAGAGUGUGUUUUGACUGAAGCUAUUAUGUGUAAAAGAUUUGAAGAUGGGCUGAAUGAAGAUAUUAAACUAUUAGUUGGCAUACUUGAGAUAAAAGAGUUCGUAGUACUUGUUGAACGAGUUUGUAAAGCCGAGGAGCUCGAGAAAGAGAAGAGAAAAGCUGACUAUGAAGCUCGAGAUUCCCGUAAAAGAUCAUUUAGUAAAUCGUUCCAGUCGACCUCAAGGAAACCCAGAGAGGAUCAUAGCCGAUCUAAAGCUACUGUAGGGUUUCCUAAACAUGAUCGAGAUCGACCCUAUAUGAGUUCACGAGCUAAUUCAGUUGCUAGUGUGGGUAAUGUUUGACAAAAUAGAUCAGAGUGCAAGCAUUGUGGUAAAUGGCAUCCAGGAGAUUGCAGAUUUCAUGAUCGGUCUUACUUUAAGUGUGGAUCAAAGGAUCAUUUUAUUCGAGAUUGUCCGAUGGUGGUCGAGCAAAAUAUUGUACAGAGUACCAGACCAAAUAAUGUGUUAGUACGAGGUAGACCACUCAGGCAUACGGGUAAUGUUAGUGGUAGUCAGAGAGGGACAAAGGACACGACAGUUCGAUCUGAGGCUCGUGCACCUGCCAGAGCAUAUGCCAUUCACGCACGUAAGGCGGCUUCAUCCCCAGACGUCAUUACUGGUACUUUCACUCUCUAUGAUACUAAUGUUAUUGCACUGAUUGAUCCUGGUUUGACUCAUUCAUAUGUGUGUGAAACUUUAGUAUUCAGUAAGACUUUGCCUGUUGAGUCUACUGAAUUUGUGAUUAGAGUAUCAAACCCCCUGGGCCGGCGUGUGUUGGUUGACGAAGUGUGUAAGAAUUGUCCGUUGAUGAUUCGAUAUUUGUGUUUUAUGGCUGAUUUAAUGUUGUUGCCAUUUGACGAGUUCGAUAUAAUUUUAGGUAUAGACUGGUUGACUUUACACGAUGCUAUGGUUAACUACAAAAGGAAGACUAUUGAUUUAAGGUGCCUGAAUGACGAGAUUAUUCAGAUUGAAUCUAAUGAUCUAAAUGGUUUAUCGGCAGUGAUAUCCUCUAUGUUGGCUCAGAAGUAUGUGAGAAAAGGUUCUAAAACUUAUCUUGCAUAUGUUCUUGAUAGUAAAGUGAUAGAAAAGAAGAUUGAAUCAGUACCUGUUGUAUGUGAGUAUCCAGAUGUGUUCCCUGAAGAAUUACCGGGUCUACCACCUAUUCGAGAAGUAGAGUUUGGUAUUGAGUUAGUACCGGGGAUGACUCCAAUUUCGAUAGCUCCGUACCGUAUGACACCGACCGAAUUAAAAGAAUUGAAAGCACAGUUGCAAGAGUUGACUGAUAAAGGUUUUGCACGACCGAGUUUCUCUCCUUGGGGGGCACCAGUUCUACUUGUGAGAAAGAAAGAUGGAACGAUGAGAAUGUGCAUUGAUUAUAAGGUGACUAUAAAGAAUAAAUAUCCGUUACCACGGAUUGAUGAUUUGUUCGAUUAGUUGAAAGGGGCUACUGUCUUCUCGAAGAUAGAUUUGAGAUCAGGCUACUAUCAGUUACGAGUUAAAGACUCUGAUGUGCCAAAGACUGCCUUUCGAAUGAGGUACGAACAUUAUGAGUUUCUUGUUAUGCCUUUUGGACUUACUAAUACACCUGCUGUUUUCAUGGAUUUGAUGAAUCGGAUCUUUAGACAAUAUCUAGAUCAGUUUGUAGUAGUAUUCAUAGAUGAUAUUCUGAUCUACUCCCGUGAUGAGGCAGAGCAUGUUGAACAUUUGAGACUUGUGUUACAGGCUUUACGAGAUAAAUAGUUGUGUGCAAAAUUCAGUAAAUGUGAGUUUUGGUUGCGUGAAGUCAGUUUCUUGGGCCAUGUUAUAUCGGCAUCAGGUAUUCGGGUUGAUUCAAGCAAGAUUUCGGCUAUACUUGAUUAGAAACCUCCGAGAAAUGUUUCGGAAGUUCGAAGUUUUUUGGGACUUGCUGGUUAUUAUAGACGGUUCGUAAAAGGAUUCUAUAUGAUUGCAACCCCGAUUACAAAGUUAUUACAGAAAGAUGUUAAGUUUGAGUGGUCAGAAAAGUACCAGAAAAGUUUCGAUCAGUUGAAAGCUCUUUUGACCGAAGCUCCAGUCUUAGUUCAGCCCGAAUCGAGUAAAGAGUUUGUUAUUUAUAGUGAUGCAUCUUUAAAUGGUUUGGGCUGUGUUUUAAUGCAGGAAGGCAAAGUUGUAGCCUAUGCCUCGAGACAUUUAAAGCCGUAUGAAAAGAACUAUCCGACGCAUGAUCUGGAAUUGGCCGCUAUUGUGUUUGCGUUAAAAAUAUGGCGUCACUAUCUGUUUGGCGAAAAUGUCAUGUUUAUUCCGAUCACAAAAGCCUGAAAUAUUUGAUGACUCAGAAAAAUCUAAAUUUGAGACAGCGCCGAUGGUUAGAAUUGCUGAAAGAUUAUGAGCUUGUGAUUGACUAUCACCCGGGAAAGGCUAAUGUUGUUGCUGAUGCCCUAAGUCGAAAAUCACUAUUUGCUUUGCGUGCAAUGAACACGCAUAUGGCUAUGUCUAAUGAUGGUGCGAUAGUAGCCGAGUUGAAAGCAAAACCAUUAUUUAUUCAACAGAUUUGUGAAGCUUAAAAAGUCAAUAAUGAUUUAAUUGCAAAACGAGCUCAGUGUGACUUAAAUGUUGAUUCAGAGUUUUUAGUUGAUGUUGAGGAUUGUUUGAGAUUCAGAAAUCGAUUAUGUGUUCCAAAAAAUUUAGAGUUAAUUCAAAUGAUUUUGAAUGAAGCUCAUAAUAGUCGAUUUUCUGUUCAUCCGGGUAGCACAAAAAUGUAUAACGAUCUGAAACAGCACAUUGGUGGCAUGGUAUGAAAUGAGACAUUUCUGACUUUGUUUCAAAAUGUUUAAUAUGUCAGCAAGUAAAAGCUGAGCAUUAGGUACCUUCUGGGUUGCUUCAGCCGAUCAUGAUACCUGAAUGGAAAUGGGACAGAGUUACGAUAGAUUUUGUAUCCGGUUUACCGUUGACACCGAGCAAGAAAGAUGCAAUUUGGGUUGUUGUUGAUAUAUUGACAAAAUCGACUCACUUUGUUCCGGUUCGUAUUGAUUAUUCACUUGAUAAACUUGCUGAACUAUAUAUCUCUCAGAUUGUGAGAUUGCACGGAGUGCCUAUUUCUAUUGCUUCGGACAGAGACCCGAGAUUCACAUCACGAUUUUGGAAGAAACUACAAGAUGCUUUAGGUACGAAACUACAUUUCAGCAUAACUUUUCAUCCGCAAAUCGAUGGUCAAUCCGAACGAAUCAUUCAGAUACUUGAGGAUAUGUUGAGAUGUUGCAUUCUCGAGUUUGAAAGUACAUGGGAACGAUACUUACCUUUGAUUGAAUUUGCUUAUAACAAUAGCUUUCAAUCUAGUAUCAAAAUGGCAGCUUACGAGGCUUUGUACGGUCGUAAAUGUCAUACACCAUUGUAUUGGACCGAGCUCAGUAAAAAUAAGAUACACGGGGUGGAUUUGAUUAAAGAGACUGAACAGAAAGUGAAAGUGAUUCGGGAUAGUCUGAAAUCAGCAUCGGAUCGUCAGAAAUCUUAUACGGAUUUGGAAAGAAAGGAUAUAGAAUUUCAGAUCGGGGACAAAGUGUUUUGAAAGUCUCACCGUGGAAGAAAAUACUCAGUUUCGGUCGUAAAGGCAAAUUGAGUCCGAGAUUCAUUGGACCGUAUGAGAUUAAAGAGCAUGUUGAACCGGUUGCUUAUAGAUUGAUGUUACCACCUGAGCUAGAAAAGAUUCACAAUAUAUUUCACGUUUCGAUGCUUCGUAGAUACCGAUCUGAUCCUACGCAUGUGAUUAGUCCGUCAAAGAAUGAGAUUAGAUCUGAUUUGUCAUAUGAAAAAGAACCGAUUUACAUUUUGGCUCGUGAAGUUAAAGAGUUACGAAAUAAGAAAAUUUUGUUAGUCAAAGUAUUGUGGUAUAAACACGGAGUUGAAGAAGCAACUUUGGAGUCAGAAGAUACAAUGAAAGAGCGUUAUCCAAACCUAUUCACCGGUAAGAUUUUCAGGGAUGAAAAUCCUUAAGGGGGGAGAGUUGUAACAACCCAAUUUUGACCCUAAUCAGAACAGUGGUUUCGGGACCACAAAUUCGAGUCUAAAAAAUAUUUUAAUAUUAUUUUAUGUGUUUAUUAUGUGUGAAUUUAUUUGUGUGAAAAUUUUGUGUGAAAAUUUUAUCGUUUGUGUGCUCGAUUUUAUAAAAGGACUUAAUCGCGUAAAAUGCAAAAGUGGCUAGCAAUUUGUUAAAGUACUAUAUUGCCAUGACUUUUAUAAUGUGGGGUCCUUAUGUUGAUAUUAUACCAUUGAAAUUUUGAGUGGAUUUUUAUGGACAUGGUUAGUUAAUUAUUAAAGUAAAAUCAUUAAGGUUAGUUUUGUAAAUUAGUUAAAUAUGUUAAUAUAAUAAAACAUAAAAUAAAAGCCAUGCAUGUUAUUCAUCUUUUUGGCCGAAUGUGAGAAGAAAAGAAAGUCAUUUACCUUGUUAAGGGUUCGGCACUUUCAAGUUUGGAUUAAGGUAUGGAUUUAGUUCGGUUUUUGAUAAUUUUUAUGUUUUUGAGAUCGUUGCUUUGAAUACUUCACAACCCAUGUCUUAAUUUUGUGAAUUGUUGAUGAUUUUGAAAUGUGCUAUUGAUGAAUGCUUGAACAUUGUGAUAGUUGAUGAUGAAAUAUGAAAGAAAUGUGAUAGAUUAACAUAUUUUGUCUUUGAAUUUUUAGUGAAUUUGAGAAAUUAGAGCUAAAUUGUGAAAAUGAAUUCUUGAGGGAUUAAAAUGUGAAAUAAAUGAAAUGUGUGGACUUGUAUGAAGACAAGGAAUAGUUGACCCUAGCUUAGUGUGGGCAAAUUUUGUGUAUUUUGUGUUUUGUGCAAAAAGGAUUAAAUUGUAAAAAGUGUAAAAUGUUAGGGGUAAAAUAGUAAUUUGCCCAUUCAUGUAUUUUUGGACUAAAUUGAAUUUUUUGAUGAAUAAAAAGUUUAAAUUUGAUUAUGUUUAGAUCAAGAAACGAAGAAAACGAAUUUGGAUCGGGGGAAAACGAAAGUAAUUGAAUAGUCGAUCUUGUCCGCUGAUAUCCGAGGUAAGUCUAAUAGCAAAUAAACAUCAUUACAUUAGUAUAUAUAUGUUCUAUAAGCAAAAAUAUAAUGGUAUGAAUUGUAUAAAAGUGUUAGCUGAAUGUAUAUAUAUGUUUUGAAUUUUAUAAGUUAAAAAUAAAAUGUAUGAAUUGUAUAUAUAUAUGUGUGUUAGUCAAUGUAUAUUUGAGUUUUAUAAGUUAAAAUAAAUUACAGAAAUUCUAUAUAUAUCUAGCCGAAUAUAUAUAUGCUGGGUUUUGUAAGUUGAAUGAAAUUUAAUAAAUUACAUAUAUGUUAGCCGAAUGUAUAUAUAUGUUUUGAAUUUUAUUAAAAUGUAUGAAUUGUAUAUAUAUGUGUUAGUCAAUGUAUAUUUGAGUUUAUAAGAUAAAAUAAAUUGCAUAAAUUCUAUAUAUAUUUAGCCGAAUAUAUAUAUGCUGAGUUUUGUAAGUUGAAUGAAAUUUAAUGAAUUGGAUAUAUGUUAGCCGAAUGUAUGUAUUGAAUUCGAUUGGUUGAAAUUAAUCAUAUGAAUUAUAUGUAUGUUAGCCAAUGUAUGAUUUGAGUUCGAUAAUUUGAAGCUUAUAGUAUAAAAAUAUAUAUAUAAUAACCGAAUGCAUGUAUUGAGUUCUAUGAGCUGAAUUUAAUGAUAUGAACUAUAGAUAUGUUAUUCGAAUGUAUGUUUGCUACGAAGAUUGGAAUAUAAUUCGAUUUUUGCUGAGAUACGAUUAUUGAAAAGAUUUAUAUGAGAUAUAAAGAAUAUCUAGAUUUUCUUAUAAAGAAUUUUGUGAAAGACCAAUUUCAUAUCCGUGGUAUUCAGGCUCGAUGCCUAGCAGGCUUAAUGCCGGUGAAUUAUUUCAGACUUUAUGUCUAGCAGGCUUAAGGCCGGUGAAAUGAUUCGGUCUUUCAGUCUAGCAGGCUAAGUGCCGGUGAUCUGAAUCAGGUUAUAAACCUAGCAGGCUAAGUGCCGGUGAUCUGAAUCAGGCUAUAAGCCUAGCAGGCUAAGUGCUGGUGAAUAUGUUAAAUUAAGUGAUUAUAUGCAUUUGAUAUAUAUAAAUAUAUAAAUGAUUUUGGGUUAUAUAUAAUGGAUAAGUACAUGAACAUUUAUUUAUAUGUAUUUGAUGAGCAUAUAAAUGUUUUGAUCUAUGUGUUUAGUGAAUAGACACAUAUACUGGUUGUUAUGAAAAUUGUUGAAUAUACAUGUAUGCAUUCGGCACAUGUGGGUUAGAAGUAUAAAUGUGCAUUUGGUUCAAGUAGUUGAUAAAUAAAAAUAUAAGCUUUUGACAUAUGUAUUUGUAUGAUCAUAGAUAUGCAUUCGACGAAAUGCAAAUGAUAAGUAUGUUAGAAAUUAGUAUAUGCAAUUAAUGAUUAUGUUUGUAACUUGAUUAUAAGCAUAUAAUGUUUAUACAUAUGUUCGUUUAUAUGUAUUUUUAAUAUGCUAUAAACUUAGUAAGCUAUAAAGGCUUACUUUGAUUGUUUUUGUCCUUUUGUUUUAUAGAUAAAAACCAAGCUGCAAACUCGGGGAUCGUUAACGAAGAUCAUCACUCUAUCUAUUAUCUCAGUAUUAAAACGUUUAAAUUUUAACUUAUGGCAUGUAUAGGCUAAAAAAAAUAUUUUGGGAGUCGUACUUUAAUGUACUGUAUAUAUAUAAUUAAUAGCCAUAUGAAACUAGCUUUUUUUUCUUACGGUUUAACUGAACUGAAAUGUUAUGUUUUGUUAUAAAAGGUUAAAGUAAAAAUUUAUAAUUAUACUUACUUCAUAUUUUACUAAUUUAACAUAAAUGUAAAAUUCUUGAAUUCUACUGAAUGUCUGUGUUAAGUUGCGUUUUAUCUUGUAACGAUUUGUAACCCUAAUUUAUCGAUGUAUACGGGUUAAGAGUGUUACAGAAUCUAUCCGAAGAAAUAUAGUGACACCCAGUGUCUCAUCGACUCGAGGUCGAAGCAUCCCUGAACUCUUCCAAUCCUAUGGCAUGCCAACUAUAUUCGACUCAGCCCGACUAUUUAAUAGGUUCUCCAAAUUCACAUUUCAAUUCAAUCCACUUUUUCACUUUCAAUCACAAUUCAAUUCAAAAUUCACUUUUCCAUUUUUUUCUUUCAAAUCAAUAUUCAACUCAAUCCACACAUAUAUUCAUCAUUCGAUUGAAUUUCUUUAACUUAAUAAUAAUACUUACCUUAUAUUUCACUUACCAUACAUAUAAAUUUAAAUAUAGCAUUUAAUUAUAAGUUAUUUGAAUUAUAGUAAUACAAACCCGAAAUCCGCGAUUACUCCUCGAUGAUCUUCUCUUUUCCUUUCUGUGCCAAUGUCUCGGGUUCUUUAUUAGCUUCGAAAAAUGAAGAUAAUUUCAUAAUCAAUAAUAGACUAUUAAUUUAUAUCUAAUUAAUUGAAUUUCUAUUCAAAUUUCUACUUUAAUUUGAAUUUAGUCUUAACUAAAUUCACUUUUUUUUCUAUCUCAAUUCAUACUUUAUUUCAAUUCAAAUUUCAACCAAACUUAGACAUAACUAUCUAAAUUUUAUCAUAAAACCCUAAUUUCGAAAUUCUUGCAAUUUAGUCUCUACUAUGUAGAACUAAUAGCUUCUUUUACAAUUUAAUCCUUCAAUCAAUUCUAACUAAAAAUUCAUUCAAUUAAACCUCUAAUUCAACAAUUUGUUCAACAUAUAUCAUGUUCAAAAACCUAAAAAAAACUUCUAAAACCUCAACUUAAUUUCAAAAAAACUCUAUUCUAAAGCUUCUAAAACAUCAAAAUUAAAAGAAAAUGGCUUAAUUGACUUACCCGUUAAAGCUUCAAACCUUAAAACCCUAGUUUUUCCUUUUAUUUUUCUUUUUCUCCUUUCCCUGCUCUAUUUCGAAAUCGCUAUUCUGUUUCUUCUUUCUUUAUUUGUUUCCUUUCUUUUAUCUUAUUUACUUUAUAUUAUAUUUGAUUUAAUUAAUAAUUAAUAACUAUAAAAUAUCUUUAUACUUAAAUUACAAGUAAAUUAUGUAUUUAAAUUACAAUUGUACCAAUAUGAUUUUUUUACACAUGUAUAUUUUUGUUACCAUACAUUUGUUACAGUUCAAUUGAUUUACUUACAAUAUAAUAAUUUUUGUUACCAAUAUAAUAAUUUAAUAUAUAAAAUAUCUUUUACUUACAAUUCAAGAAAAUAUACAAUUAUAUUACAAGUGUACAAAUACAUAUAUUACACAUGUACAAUUUUAUCAUCAUACAUUUGUCUUUAUUUUAAUUUAUUAAUAAUAAUAGUAAUAAUAAUAGUAAUACAUAUACUGCCUCACCUAUUAAAAUGGGCACAAUUGCCUAUUUAGCCCUCUUUAUUUUAUUUUGAUCUAUAAUUAGAAUUUUACCCUUUAUUCACUUUAGUCCUUUUUCUUAUUUUCUCUUAAUUAAACUAAAUUAACUUAAUUAAAAUCUAAUUAAACACACUGCUAGACUCAUAAAUAUUCCUAAUAAUUAUCUAUUGGUUCAAUUUUCUAAGACAAAGGUCCGCUACUACACUUUUCUGAUGUCUGUGAAUUUUGGGUUACAAUUUUCUUAUUAUUUUCAAAUUAACCCUCAAUGUCACGAAACUAUAAAAAAUAAAAAAAAUUAGACCAAAUUACACAAAGUGUUGUUUAGGUUAAUUUUUUUAGAAUAAAAACUAAAUGGAUAUAAUUUAUAAAUGUUGAGGGUUAAAGUCGUUAUCAUGUGAAUUUUAAAAGUAUCCACCUUUAGCCAACUGGUGGCCCAAAAAGACAAAAUUGAAUAUUUAUGCGAUUAUUUUGUAACUUUUCAUAGUUGAAUGACCAAAAAAAAAUUUACUAUUACUUAAGUGAUUACUAGUGUAAAUUACCCUCAUUAUUAUUAAAAGAAAUAAAUUCAUUAAUAUCGCUAGUUCAUGAGCUACCCAUUAUCAAACCUCCCAGCGUGGUGAAAUAGACAUAAUUUGUUGAGGGAUAAAAACAAUAUAAAUAAUAUUUUUCAUCUUAUUAUAGAGUAUUUUAAAAUUGAAUAUUGUUGAACAACUUUUAACUUUUGGAGAAAAAUAUUUGAAGUGUCGUUCGUUGGGCAUCUAGUCAAAUUCUCAACAAUGGUUAGUAAUGUUCCCUGUAAGGUUUUGUCUUUCGUAUUUGCCAAAGGUCCUAAAGGGUUCAUGAAAGGGGAACAUCUCAUUUGGUAGAAAUACAACCUGCAUUGCUCAUGUAACAAUCCAUUUUUAGUGGUACAGGAAACGGUGGUUUCAGAAUCUCAUUUUUUGAUGAUUGAGUUUGUGAAUAUUAUUUUUUAAUAUUUACGAGUUUAUCUUAGUGUCAUAUUGAUUUUUUGUCUUGAAAUUUCAAUGAAACGGUUAGUAAUUAAAGUAUAAGGACUAAACCAUAAAAACCUUAAAGAGUUAAUUGUUAUUAAUUUUAUUGGUUUAAAGGGUUGAAAAGUAUUAAGCCAAGUGUUGAAAUGGCAAAUUACUUUUUUUAAUAGAUAGUGUACGGUUUGGUAAGCUUUGUUUACUAAAUCAUGCAAAUUUUAUAAUUAAUAAAAUAAAAUAAAAUGAGAUAAUCAUAGAACAUAUUGUAGUGGAAGGAAAGAGGGAAGGGCUAUUCCAUUUUUUUUUCUUUUUUCAUCCAUCUUCUUCACGAAAUAAGAAGAAAGAAUUAGGGCUCUUAACGUCGAACUUUUGGCCUUGUGCAUGGUACAAAAAUUUCAUUCUUUUCUUUUAAUUUUUAUGUUUUUGAGAUCGUUUUAUUUUGAUUUAGCUAACUCGGGUAUUAAAUCGUAAAACUAUUAAAGUUUUAAAAAGUUACCAUUGUUGUUCUUUGAAGCUUUUGAUGUUCAAUAGAUGAAUGUUAAGCUUGGAAAUGAAAUAGGGACUAGUUUGUAAAGAAAACUUGGUUAAUUUUGACUCUAGGAACUAAAAUGCAAUUAUUUCAAAACUGUCAUGGAAUUUCUAUACUUUUGGCUUUUAUUGAGUUAUAAAAGGAAGAAAUUAAAAAUGGAGUGAAAAACAGAGCUUAAAUGUGAAAGAUAUGAUUGUUUUCAAAUUUUAGGACUCAAUUGAAUAAAAUGUGAAACUUUAAAAUUUUUAAAAAAUAAAGAAAAUAGAUCCAUGUAUAUCAUAUUAUGGAAAAAGUACAUACACAACAUUCAACACAACAAUUUUUCUGAUUUUAACGUUCAACCUUGACAUAGGGCCUCAUUGAUAAUUCUAUCAAAGUUGGUAACAGAAGAUCCUCCAACGCUAAUGGCAGAUUUAGCUUUUUUCUUCCAUUCCAAUGUCUUUUACCUUAUCCUUUGCCCAUUAUCUCCUUCCAUUAUCUCUUUAACAAGAGCCUCCACAUCCUUACACUUUACAUUAGGGUUGAUUUCCAUUCUAUUGCCCCAUGUGGUGCACGAAUAUCGACAAUUUGUUUGUUGAUCACCAAAGAAAGGCCAACAAAUUAAAGGCGCACCUUCGGAUACAACUUCCAACAGAGAAUUCCAUCUGCAGUGUGUUAAGAAAAUGCCAACCGCUAGGUGGGACAACACUUGUUAUUGGAGACACCAGCUUGUUAUAAAGCCCCUUUCUUUUAUUGCCUCCAUGAAUUCUCUCGGAAAAACAACCGAUUCUCCCAUCACAAUGUCAGGCCUAACUACCCAUAAAAACGGGUAUUUACUAUUUGCAAGUCCCCAAGCAAAUUCUUUCAAAUUAUGGUUCGACAUCACUGUUACACUCCCAUAGUUCACAUACACCACCGACUUGGGUUUCAUUGUGUUAAGCCAUUCGAUGCAACUUGUAUUCUCCUUUCAUAGGCUUGAAUUUAGUGAGUUAUGUUGGAUUUCAAGUAGGUUCCUACUUAGGGAGGUGAGUGGACCAAUUGCAUAAAUAUUAGGGGACUUGGAUGCAAGAACUUGUAGCACUUCUUUAUCCAAGUCAUCGAACGUGUUGAAGAUUAUUGAAGAUGAAUUUAAGCAUUCUUGUGAUACGUCCAUGAUGUAAUUAAACAUGAAGUCAUCAGGGUCAGUGGUUCUUAUGAAGCUUGGUACGUCCUUGAGACGCAUGUUAGGCAUACCAGAGAUCCAAUCAAUGCGCAUCUCAAGUGUCCCAUCGUUAGCAAAGCGUUCAUCUACAACGAAAACAAAAUGCAUGUUUUUGUUUCAAUAUGCAAAAAAAUAAGCAUGGAGUAUGUUGCGUGUAACGCAUAGAACUUCAAAGAGAUUAUUAUCAAUGAAUAUAAGAUAUCCCAAAAUUAAGUUACAAAGCACAAAGAAAACAUAAACUUUGUAACCUUUGAAUGGAACAAUGCCUCUUUGAGCUAGUUCUUUGUAGUGCAGAAAUCCCAAAAAGCUAACGGUUGAAGAAGUCCAGAGUUGAACAUAAGGCACCCCAAUGAGUUGAGCUGCCUUGGUACCACAGUUCAUGAUUCCAUCACAAACUAUACAAGUAGUAGGUUGUAGUUGGGGUGAGGAGUUAAGCUUAGAUAGUAGCUCCAAGAAUAGAGCCAAACAAUUAUUUCGUGUGGCAAUGAAUAUUUUCGGAACAGACUAAGUCACAUCAGAAUCGAAAGGUGGCAGCCCAUCGGGUAUUGCUGCAAACUGGAAAUCAGGCAGACCCUUAAUGUUGAAUGUUGGUCAGUAGGCAACAAUGAACCAAACAACAAGCAGGCCAUGAAGACCUAGCCAUAUAGGAGCUGCUGGAAGAAGCUCAACUGUUCCAAUUUUUGUUCAUUUUGUAAUCUUAAGUUAAUGUAAUGUACUUUAGUUUAAUUUGAACUAAGUUAGGCUUGUGAUUGAUGUAAUUAGAUUGUGUAUGAACUGUAAACUUAGCUUUAACCAUUCUUACAAGUUUUGUUUUUCAAGUUUCAAUGUAUUAGUGGUGGUAGGUAGUGUUUAGGUGACUGCUUACUAUUUUUUGACAAGCUUAAUGCUUGGUUUAUGUAUUAGCAUUGUGCCAUUGUUCAAUUUGAAUGAAUUCAGAAAGUUUUCUUCCAUACACUCUCCAAAUUUUCUUUACUUUUCCUUAUUUUAUUUUGUCUUAAGCUCGAUUAUUUCUUAGGCAAGCCUCGAGCCUUGCUGUUCAAGUUUCUGCAAACUUGUUUGUUUCUUUGUUCUCAACACCAACAAUUGAUAUCUAGAGCUUUAAUCUUAAGGGACCUAUUAUACAAAAUGAUGGCCUCAUCAAGCUUCGCACCAGCUGCACCACCAGUCUGCAAUGAAGAGAGCUAUCACAUAUGGGUGGUUAAAAUGAAGACCUACCUGCAGGCAUUUGAUCUGUAGGAGGUGGUCAACUCAGAUGUUGAACAAGAGCUACUUAGAGCCAAUCCAACAAUGGCUCAAAUCAGGCAGCAUGCUGAUGAAAGGACCAAGAGGCGCAAAGUAAUGUCUUGCAUCCAGAACUCGGUUUCAGAUGUGAUCUUUACAAGGAUCAUGGCCUGUGAAACACCAAAGCAGGCCUGGGACAAAUUAAAAGAGGAGUUUCAAGGGACAGAGAGGACAAGGCAGCAAUAGUUGUUAAACUUGAGAAGGGACUUUGAGAAUUUGAAGAUGAAAGAAGAAGAAACUAUCAAACAGUACUCAGACAGGAUUAUGGCUAUGGUAAACAGCAUAAGGAUCUUUGGUGAGCAGUUUACUGAAGCAAUGAUAGUGGAGAAGGUUAUGAGGCAAAAAUCUCAUCUCUCGAAGACUCAAGGGACCUGUCCAGCAUCUCCUUCACAGAGUUGAUCAAUGCUCUCUAUGCGUAAGAGUAGAAAAGAGCCAGCAGACUGGAGGAGCACUAAGAAUGUGCCUUUCAGGCAAAGACCGAUACUGCCUACAAAGGCAAGAAGGCCUGGAAAGACAAGCCAAAGUUUGAUGCUGCAAGAAAAGGGGACCAAACCUGCAGGCAUUGUAAAAGGUUUGGUAAUCCAGAAGAAAAAUAUUGGUUUAGACUAGAUACAUUGUGUCAACAUUGCAAGAAGAAAGGGCAUGUUAAAAGGUUGUGCAAAAACAAGGGCAAACCAAGGUAGAACCAACCCCAACAAUCAAGGCUGAGGCUCGAGUAGCCAAGGAAGACAGUGAUCAUGAAGAGUAAGUUUUUACUGUGCCAUGCUGAGCUGCUCAGGAGAGGCUUUCAAAUGGAUAGCUCCUAGAAAGUGGAUACACCAACCACAUGACACCAGAUGUUGCCAUCUUCAAGUCCUUGGACAGAAGCUGCAGAACCAAAGUUAAGAUUGGUAAUGGUCACUUUAUAAAAGUAGAAGGUAAGGGUGAUGUGUUGAUAUGCACUCCCACAGUUGCCAAGGUCAUCUCGAAUGUGCUAUUGGUGCCUGAGAUUGACAGAAACCUGCUCAGCAUAGCUCAAUUGCUAGAGAAAGGGUAUUCUGUAGUGUUCAAAGGCAAGGAGUACCAAACCAUUGAUCCAAGUGGAUCCAAAUUCAUGGCAGUCACUAUGGCUGAUAAGAGCUUUGUACUUGAUUGGACAGAGGACUUAGACACUACCUAUACAGCUACAACAGAUGAAUCUAAGCUUUGGCAUCAAAGACUUAGUCAUGCCAACUACAGAUCAAUGGACCAGUAAUGCAGAGAUGAUUUGCUGAAAAUUUCAUUGGUUCAGUUAAAAAGUAGGAGGUUUAUGAGGUAUGUCAGCUAGGGAAGCAACCUAGACUCCCAUUUCCCUCAAAUCAAGCCUGGAGAGCCUUUGAAAGGUUGCAGCUAGUGUACACUGAUGUGUAUGGUCCUAUGAAGACUGAGUCAUUGAAUGGAAGCAGGUACUUCAUCCUGUUUAUUGAUGAUUUCUUAAGGUUUUGUUGGAUUUAUUUCUUAAAACAGAAAUCAGAAGUAGGUUCAGUGUUUACAAAGUUCAAGAUUGCUGCUGAAACUGAAAUAGGCUGCAAACUUAAGACCAUAAGGUCUGACAAUGGGACUGAGUACACCUCAGCUCAGUUCCAAGCCUUUUGUGAUGAGGCAGGCAUCAAACACCAGCUCACCAACACCUACACUCAACAAAAUGGUGUAAGUGAGAGGAAAAAUAGGAGUUUGAUGGAUAUGGCCAGGUGCCUACUGUUUCAGAAGAAUCUGUCCAAAACCAUAUGGGCAGAGGCAGUCAAUACUGCUGUGUACAUUCAGAAUAGACUUCUCACCAAGGCCCUAGCUCAUAAGACUCCAUUCGAAGCCUGGUUCAGGUGCAAACCUUCACUGGCUCAACUAAGGGUCUUUGGUAGCAUAUGCUAUGCUCAUGUACCAAUAUUAAAGAGAGACAAAUUAAGUACAAAAGCUGAACCUGGUAUACUGGUGGGGUAUAGCUUAGUCAAAAAGGGCUAUAGGAUCUUGGACCCUUCAACAAGCAAAGUGUUAGUAAGUAGGGAUGUAGUGUUUGAUGAGAAGUCACGCUGGAAUUAGGAAAAGAAUGAGCCACAAGCAGUUUCUGAAGAUCUUGUAACAAAUCAAAUUGAUUCAGAUCAAAAUGGUCCUGAAAUGGACAUUGAUGAUGAACCAGUCAGGGGCACUAGACCUUUGGCUACAAUCUAUGAAAGGGCUCAAGUAGCCAUAGUAGAGCGAAGCUGCUUUGAAGAGGCUGAAGCUCAGCAAGGGUGGAAGUAAGCAAUGGCUGAUGAAAUCAGCAUGAUUGAGAAGAAUCAGACUUGGGAAUUAGUUGAAAGACUAACAAAAAGGAAGAUCAUUGGAGUGAAAUGGGUUUAUCGAGCCAAGCACAAUGCUGAUGGGAGCUUGAAUAAGUUAAAAGCAAGGCUGGUUGUUAAGGGAUUUAGCCAGAAGUAUGGUCUGGACUACCUGGAGACCUUUGCACCAGUGGCCAGACUCGACACCAUUAGGCUGCUGAUUGCCUUAGUAGCACAAAUGGAAUGGAAAAUCCACCAUCUCAAUGUGAAAUCAGCCUUCCUAAAUGGAUUUCUUGAGGAAAAAAUCUAUGUUGAACAACCAUAGGGUUUUGAAGUGGUUGGCAAAGAACACAUGGUCUACAAACUGAAGAAAGCCUUGUUUGGCUUAAAACUGGCUCCAAUGGCCUGGUAUAGCAGUAUUGAUAGCUAUCUGAUCAGUUUGGGAUUUGAAAGAAGCAAGAGUGAGCCAACUUUAUAUGUCAAGAAGGAAGGUGCACAAACUCAGCUCAUAGUAUCUCUGUAUGUUGAUGACCUGCUAGUGACAGGAGGAGAUCAAACAAUGCUGAUUGAUUUCAAAACCAAAAUGUAACAAGUGUUUGAGAUGUCUGAUCUAGGAAAGAUGACCUAUUUUCUGGGCAUGGAAGUGACACAGAUGCACAAUGGGAUUUUCGUAAGUCAGAAAACCUUUGCUUCAAAAAUUCUGACCAAGUUGUCAAUGGGAAACAACAAAGCAACAAAGACUCCUGUUGCUAUUGGAGAAAAGCUAUCGAGCAAUAGUGAGUUUGUGAAGGUUUGUGAAACAACCUAUAUGAGCUUGGUUGGUUGCUUGUUGUACUUAACAGCCACUAGGCCUGAUAUUAUGUUCACAGUAAGUUUGCUCUCAAGGUUCUUGCAUUGCGGCAACGAAAAGUAUUUUCAAGCUGCAAAAAGAGUACUCAGAUAUGUCAAAGGUACGUUGAGCUAUGGCUUGAUGUAUAGUAAAGCUGAAAGCUUCAAGUUAGUUGAAUACACUGACAGUGACUGGCCUGGUUCGAUUGAUGACAUGAAAAGCACUUCAGGGUAUGCCUUCAAUCUCAGUUCAGCCAUGUUCUGUUGGAGCUCGAAGAAGCAAACAUUGGUGGCUCAAUCUACUGCUGAAGUAGAAUAUGUUGCAGUAGCAAGUGCUGUCAACCAAGCCAUUUGGCUAAGGAAAAUUAUGGUUGAUUUGAAUUUAGAUCAAAGGGAAGCAACAAAGAUCUUUUGUGGCAAUCUAUCUGCUGUUUCAAUUGAAAAGAAUCCAGUGUUCUAUGGAAGAACAAAGCAUUUCAACAUUAAACUUCAUGUUGUUCAAGAAAUAGAGUAGGCACAAGAGGUGAAACUGAUUCAUUGCAAUUCAGAGGAUCAACUUGCUGACAUUUUGACCAAGGCCCUUAGUACAACAAGGUUCUAGCACUUAAGGGAGAAAUUAGGAGUUUGCAACAUGCUAACCAAGGAGGAGAGUUGAAUGUUGACCAACAUGCGACAAUAAACAAAAUAGCAAGUAGGCCAUGAAGACCUAGCCAUGCAGGAGCUGCUGGAAUAAGCUCAACUGUUCCAAUUUUUGUUCAUUUUGUAAUCCUAAGUUAAUGUAAUGUACUUUAGUUCAAUUUGAACUAAGUUAGGCUUGUGAUUGAUGUAAUUAGAUUGUGUAUGAGCUGUAAACUCAGCUUUGACCAUGCUUACAAGUUUUGUUUUUCAAGUUUCAAUGUAUUAGUGGUGGUAGGUAGUGUUUAGGUGACUGCUUACUAUUUUUGGACAAGCUUAAUGCUUGGUUUAUGUAUUGGCAUUGUGCCAUUGUUCAAUUUGAAUGAAUUCAGAAAGUUUUCUUCCAUAUACUCUCCAAAUUUACUUUGCUUUUCAUUCUUUUAUUUUGUCUUAAGUUUGAUUGUUUCUUAGGCAAGCCUCGAGCCUUACUGUUCAAGUUUCUGCAAACUUGUUUGUUUCUUUGUUCUCAACACCAACACUUAAUAGCUUCUUCUCCUCUAGACCGUAUCAAUUGUCUAUGAUUGAACUCGGAGUUGACAAAGGUUAUAUAGAAGCCUCUAGAGUGCAAGAGCUUGGCCAGUUGCAUCAUGGGGUUAAUAUGACCUUGUGCUGGGAAUGGGAGACAUACUGCAUGCGAUUUAAUUGAACGCAUCUUUCUGCAAAUAAUAAUUAAGCAAAGAAGUCAAGUAGGUAGUGAAAAUUGAAGAUACUAUUACUAACUUGUGACAUUAUAUGCAGAAAGUGAGGGGAUAGAGAUAAACAGGAUAAAGCAGGCGAAAAUUAUGGCUCCAUUUAAUUAUGGUGUAAAACAAUUGCCAUUGGAUGAGGUUGAGAAAAUAUCAACUGCUUCUCAGUAGUGCUUAAUAAUUCUAAGCCACGUGAGUUUGGAUGGGUGAUUGGGUGUGGUGCGGUGAGUUUAGUUUACUUUUUAUUUCACGUUACAGUAUCGCUACAGUAUCUAAACUCACCGCCACAGAAUUUUUUACACUAACCGUAAGUAAAAACACCGUUCAUUCAAACCCAUAAAAGUAACAAUAUUCAAAAGUGAAAGUUACUUGUGCUUAGUAAAUAAUGUGUUAUAAUUCGGUAAGGAAUGAAUUUAAACAUGCUUGAUAACGAUUGGUGAGAGAUGCAACGAAAAUACAUUCAAGAAUUUUGAUAUAUUAAUCUAUUGACAAUGCCUCCUUUUUGUUUUUCGAAAUUGACUGCUCAAAACCAGAAACAAUGCCUUUAAAAAUGUGGGACAACCAAAUAAGAACCUAGUUUGAAUAAAUUGCAUUGUCUUUCCCCUGUUUCUUGUUUUCCACCUUUUUCCUUAAUGAAUAAAUUUGUUUUUGAUUGAAAAAAAAUUAAAAUAAUUAUUUGAAUGAACUAAUGUUUUUAUAAUAAUAAAUAAUUCAAAUUUUACUAAAUAAAAAAAUUACAGUAAUUAAAUCUCAAAUUUAAACAUAUAUAAUAAAAGGAUCAUAAUUAUAAUUAUAAUAUGACCGAAUAUAAUAUAUAUCAAACACAAAUUAUAUCAAAUAAAAAUGUAGCAACUAAAUCAUAAAUUUGCAUAUAGUAAAAAGAUAAAUUUACUGAUUAAAAAUUUAAUUAAAAUUCUUAAUUAAUAAAUAAAAAAUUUCAAUCAUCUAGAUUUUAUAUUGAAGAUAUAAUUAUUUUACAUAAACAUCUAUCUAAAUUUUAAUAAACAUUAGAAUAAAUAUCAUCAUUUAAUAUAAAAAAAAUUAUAAUAAGUUAGUUUCAAUUAUAUUCAAAUACUUUAUGACCAAUUAAAUUAAUUAGGUAGCAAUUUUUUAGGGAAUGUAGCUAUUCUUAUUAUUUAUUAUUAAGGUUUAAGGGUGAAGAAACUCUUAAAUUUUUUUUAGAAAAAGUAAUUAAGUUUUUUUUUACACUUAAUUGGGUAUUUAAAUUACCAAAAUAUAUCAAAAAGACCUUUUGGCCGUUUAUUUUAACAAUUGACUGUUAAAGUUGUCUUUAAACUUUUCCAGUUAAAUCCACCACGUGUCACAACUACGGCGUGACACGUGACAAAAAAUUAUAAAAAAAUAAAUCAACAAAAGUUAUAAAAAUUAUUAAAUUUUAAAAAAUAUAUUUAAAAUUUAUUAAAAAUUUUAAAAAAUAUAAAUAUCGUAAAAUUUUAUAAAAUCAUAAAUAAAUAUAAAAUGUAUCAAAAGGGCCCUUUAACUAUUGAUCGUUAAAGUUAAUUACCCUACUUUUUUUCAAUUAAAGUAAUCACGUGUCGCAACACAACGUGACAUGUGACAAAAAAAUGUGGAUUGGUUGUGAGGAUGUUGUAAUUGAUUUAAUUCAUAAUGUUGUUGUCUAAGUUGCUUGCUAGAUGAUGUAGUCGGCUCGACUAUGGGUUGACUAGGGAUUGCAGGAUGGAGUGGCUACUCGUAAUGGCAAGGCAAUUGUACCGACAUGUUUUACUCAAUGGUGUUGAUAUCGUAACUUCAAAAGUGUAUGCAAUUUGAAUUGCUCUAGAUGUUUUUGUGCAAACAGAAUGGAUCCCUCAUAGUAGAAUCUCAAAUGUGUUUGUGGAAUCUCGUAUGCUUAACAAUAUCACUCAAAUGUGUCAAGGGAAGUUAUUUGUAUGGAUGCUGCCUUGGCUAAUAAACGAUAGGGUAUUAAAAUUUGAGUUGUUUUUGGGUUGGUGGACAUUUAUUUUUUGCUUUAUUGUUCUGGUCUCCAAUGGACUGCUUCAGGCGAGACGCAUAUUAGAUGUGCCUUGUAGUGUGUUUCUUAUGGGUUCUGUUUGUGUUUCGACUUUUUUUUAUUUUGUUGCUCUGUUCUGGUCUUUUUGUUGUACGGAAGCGUGUAAAAGAGUAAAAUUAUUGUACUAAAAAAUCACACUAAGUUCAAUUUCCAGGAAAGAGAGGUGGAUCAUAAGGAUCGCUUAAGUACCAGGUCUUUCCUAGCCAUAAUAUACCCCAAUCGUAAUUUAAUAUCACAAUAAAUCACUACAAUAAAACUCACAAAAUAUGCAGAAUAAUACCAUAAAGAACACAAGAAUUUUAACGAGGUUCAGUAAAUUUUGCCUACGUCCUCGGGCACUAUCAAAUAUAUUUCACUCCAAAAUACAAGUGAAAAUUUACAAAGAGAUAGAGAACAAUGCCUUAAGUAGAGAAUGACAAAUAUAGGAUACUAUAAAUGAGAGAUGGUUAGGCCUAUUUAUAGUUGAGGUUCAGGGAUCAACUUGCAAAGGCACUAUACAAUUAGGGACCAAAUAUUGCAAAUAUCUCAGAUUUCUUAUGUCAAUAUUUCGAAACCCAUAUCUUUGACUUUCCAAUAUUUGAUACCCAUAUCUUUGACUUUCCAUAAUAUGGAUGAUUGUCAAUAAUCUCCACCUUGAAGGUUUGAUUCGAAUAAUCUUAUCUUUACACAAUUCUCUCUGCCUUUGUCAACAACACUUGAUAGUGCCUUCUUCAACUGUUAAACUUGCAGAAUAUUGAUCAAGUUCAAACAAUGUUCAAACUUUAUUGUUGUUACCACCUUGGUCAUCAUAUUUGUGGGAUUAUCUGCAGUCUUAAUCUUCUAAUUUUCCCCUCAUCAAUAAUUUCCCACACAAAAUUGAAACGUAUGUCGAUAUGCUUUGUACGUGCAUGAUAGACUUGAUUCUUUGCUAAAUGAAUAGCACUUUGACUAUCACAAUACACGUUAAUAUGCUCUUGAACCAAGCCUAAGGUUUUAACCAUACCUUGUAACCAAGUAGCUUUAUUUACAGCCUCUGUUACAGCCAUGUAUUCGGCUUCUGUGGUUGACAACGCAACUGUAGACUGCAGUAUAGACUUCCAACUUAUUCGUCCUCCAACAAGUGUAAACACAUAACCGGUGGUUGAUCUUCGUUUGUCCAAAUCACUGCCAUAAUCAGAAUCAACGUACCCAAUAUCACCUUUACCAAGUGUAGUAUCCUGCUUAAACAGUAAUCCAAUAUUCAUGGUCUUCUGAAUAUACCGUAGAAUCCAUUUCACAACUUGCCAAUGUCCUUUUCCAGGAUUAUGCAUAUACCUGCUCACUAUACUAACUACCUGUGAAAUGUCGGGUCUUGUACACACCGUUGCAUACAUCAAGCUACCUACUACAUUAGAAUACGGAACUUGUAACAUGUAUUCUUGUUCUGUAUUCGUCGAAGGAGAUAGUUGUACAGAAAGCUUGAAAUGACAAGCCAACGGGGUACUUAUAGCUUUUGUCUGCUCGUUCUUGCCAAACUUCUGUAGUACCUUCUUCAAAUAUUGCUUCUGAGACAAGCUAACUCUGCCAUGAGCUCUAUCUCUACAUAUUUCCAUGCCAAGAAUCUUCUUAGCUUCACCUAGAUCUUUUAUCUCAAACUCAAGGUUGUGUUGAGUCUUCAAUCUCUCAAUUUCAACUUUACUCUUAGAUGCUAUCAACAUAUCAUCAACAUAUAAGAGCAAGUAUAUGAAAAUUCCUUCUUGUAGCUUCUAAAAAUACAUGCAAUGAUCAAAUUUACUUCUUUUGUACCUUUGCCCUUUCAUGAACUGAUCAAAUCGCUUGUACCACUGCCUCGGAGAUUGUUUCAAUCCAUAAAACGACUUUGUUAGUUUGCAAACCCAAUUUUCUUUAUUAGCAACCUUGAAUCCAUUUGGCUGAGUCAUAUAGAUAUCAUCUUCUAAAUCAGCGUGUAAAAAUGUGGUCUUCACAUCAAGCUGAACUAGUUCAAGAUCAUAUUGCACAAAUAAGGCUAGCAAAAUCCGAAUAGACGAAUGCUUCACAAUUAAAGAAAACAUUUCAUUGUAGUCUAUUCCUUCUUUCUGAGUGUAACCUUUUGCUACCAAUCUAGCCUUGUAUCGAACUUCAUUUUUACCAGGAAAUUCUUCUUUCUUUGUAUUUACCUAAUUGCAUCCAAUUGCCUUCUUUCCUUUGGGUAGUGUCACCAACUCCCAAAUCCUAUUUUUAUGAAGAGACUGCAUUUCUUCAUUCAUAGCUUGCUUCCAUUUUACACCAUCAGGGUUACUUCUUGCUUCUUUGUAAGUAGAAAGAAUAUCGUCAUCUGCAAUUAGAAGUGCAUAGGCCAGCAUACCAUCAAAGCGAGCAGGCAUACGAAUCUCUCUUCUUGCCCUCCUAUAUGCAAUUGAAUCUUGUUGUUGUAGAAGUUCUUGGGUCGAAACUUCUACAUCAUUUGUUCCUUCAAUAUUAGCUAGAUCAUCAUUAACAUUUUCUAGCUCCACCUGCUACAAAGCACUACUAGUUUUGUCAUCCUUUUGUGAAUCAUUAUUCUUCAUCAUGGUUGAUUCAUCAAAAGUCAUAUCUCUACUGAAAACAAUCUUCCUUGUAUCAGGAUACCAGAGACGGUAUCCUUUUACUCCACCAGUUAUACCCACGAAUAAUGCUUUCUUUGCUCUUGGAUCUAACUUAGAUUCUUUUACAUGAUAAUAUGCAGUAUAACCAAAAACAUGAAAAGAAUCAUAAUUAGUAGUAGGUUUACCAGUCCACCUCUCCAUAGGAGUUUUUCUAUUUGUUGCAGCUGAUGGCAACCGGUUAAUUAGAUGACACCCAUAUGUAACUGCCUCAACCCAAAAUUCUUUGUCCAAUCCAGCAUUGGACAACAUACAUCGAACUUUCUCCAGUUGAGUCUGAUUCAUACGUUCUGCCACCCCAUUCUAUUGUGGUGUAUCCCAAAAAGUGAAGUGUCGCACAAUGCCCUCAUCUUGACAUACUUGUAGAAAUGGAUCAUUCUUGUACUCAGUACCAUUGUCUGAUCGAAGUCGUUUGAUCUUUCGACCAGUCUCGGUCUCCACCAACUGCUUCCAUUUCAAAAAUGCAUCCAAAAUUUCAUUUUUUUUCUUUUCAUAAGAUACACCCAUACUUUUCUUGAAUAAUCAUCAACAAAAGUAACAAAAUAGUGCAUACCUCCCAAAGAAGCCACUUUAGUAGGUCCCCACACAUCACUGUGAACGUAGUCUAGAAUUCUUUUUGUAUUGUGAAUUACUGAACCAAAAUUUAUCCUCGUCUGCGUGCCCAGAAUACAAUGUUCACAGAAUUCCAAUUUGCAAGAAUUUGCACCUUUCAACAAGCCUUGCUUCGCUAAACUCUGCAAAGCUUUUUCACCAGCAUGUCCCAAUCAUAUAUGCCAUAACCUGGUUGCCUCUGAAUCUGCAUCUUUUGCAGAAGUUGUUGAUAUUGAUCCAAUAAUUGUACUUCCAUUUAAAUAGUACAUGUUAUUCCUUCUUGUGCCUUUCAUCACCGUCAAUACCCCAGCUACUACUUUUAGUAAUCCAUCUCUCAAAGUGAUUGUGAGCCCUUAAGAUUCUAGGACCCCUAAUAAGAUGAGAUUUUUCUUCAAGCUAGGUAUGUAGCGAACAUCUGUCAAGACUUGAAUUGAGCCGUCGUGAUUCUUCAAAUGGAUUGUACCUACUCCCAUUGUCUUAUAAGCGCUGUCAUUGCCCAUAAAAAUAACUCCACCUUCUAGUUCUUUAAGACUAGAAAACCAGUCCUUAUUAUGACACAUAUCAUAAGUACAUCCCGAAUCCAAAAUUCACUCAUCUGUAUGAAAUGCCAUUGCCAUGCUAAACAAGCUAAAGUCUGACUCAUCAUCAUGCUUUGCUACACAUGCAUCAGAAAUAGCCUUGCCCUUUUGUAACUUAGGACAAUUUUUUUCCAAUGCCCUUUCUCAUGACAAAAGGCAUAUUCAUCUUUGGCAGGUCUCCCUUUGGACUUACUCCUUCUACCAGAUUUGUUGCUGUGCGAACGACCUCUUACUGUUAAGACUUCUGCAGUUGUAUCUCUGUGAUAUCUUUUAUCUUUCUUUCGAGUCUCAGAUCUAUACAACGCACUACAGACUGCAUCAAACGUGAUUGUAUCCUUCCCAUGAAGCAAUGUGGUGGUAAGAUGAUCAUAUUCAUAAGGAAGAGAAUUCGACAACAAUAAUGCAUUGUCUUUAUCUUCAAAUUUCUCAUCCAAAUUUAGCAAGUCUGGUAAAAUUUUAUUGAAUAAGUUCACAUGGUUAUUCAUCAACAUACCGGGUGUAUACGUGAAUCAAUAAAGUUUCUUUUUCAUAUAAAGCCUAUUUUCAAGACUUUUUGUUAGAAACUUUUCUUCUAGUGUAUCCCACAACUUUUUCACUGAUGUCUCCCUCAUGACAGAGUACUUCUGCUCUUUGGCCAAACAUAGGCGGAUUAUUCCACAUGCUUGUCUAUUGAUCUUGCUCCACUCCUUGUCAUCCAUCUUGUCAGGUUUUUCUUUAAGGGUUAUACCCAGCUCUUGCUGACAUAAGACAUCCAGGAUCUCACAUUGCCACAUACCAAAAUUAUUGGUACCAUCAAAUUUCUCUACUUCAAAUUUUGCAUUGGUCACAGUAGUCUUUGUUGAUGACGAUGUCUUUUCCAUUUUUCUCCUCAAUCCCAACUAUUGUACGUGAACAGUGCCGUGAACGAUCGUAUUCCCCAAGUACAAAUCUAGCUUUGAUACUAAUUGUUGUGCGGAAGCAUGUAAAAGAGUAAAAUUAUUGUACUAAAAAUUCACACUAAGUUCAAUUCCCAGGAAAGAGAGGUGGAUCAUAAUGAUUGCUUAAGUACCAGGCCUUUCCUAGCCAUAAUAUCUCCCAAUCAUAAUUUAAUAGCACAAUAAAUCACUACAAUCACACUCACAAAGUUUGCAGAAUAAUACCAUAAAGAACACAAGAAUUUUAACGAGGUUCAGCAAAUUUUGCCUACGUCUUCAGGCACUAAAAUUUUGUCUAUGUCCUCGGGCACUACCAAAUAUAUUUCACUCCAAAAUACAAGUGAAAAUUUACAAAGAGAGAGAGAGAACAAUGCCUUAAGUAGAGAAUGGAAAAUAUAGGAUACUAUGAAUGAGAGAUGGUUAAGCCUAUUUAUAGUUGAGGUUCAGGGAUCAACUUGCAAAGUCACUAUACAAUUAGGGACCAAAUAUUGCAAAUAUCUCAGAUUUCUUAUGCCAAUAUUUCGAUACCCAUUUCUCUGACUUUUCAAUAUUUGAUACCUAUAUCUUUGACUUUCCAUAAUAUGGAUGAUUGCCAAUACUUUUUUUUUAUUUUAGUUUUGAAGUUUGUAUGAUUCUAGAUUGAAGUAUAGCUUUAUUAGGGAUAUUAUGUUUCUAGUUUUUAUGGGUAAAUUAUACUUGUGGUCACCUAACUAUUAGUUUGUUUGUUUUUUGUCGGUCAACUAUAAAAAGUUACAAAAUAGUCUUUCAACUAAUACCAAAUUUCGUUUUUGAUCAUCGAACUAUGAAAAAUUAUAAGAUGACUACGUAACUAUUUAAUUUUAUUUUUUUCACCAACGGGCUAAAGGCGACAGCUUUUAAAAUUGACAUAACGGAAAUUUUAACACUCAACAUUUAUACAUUAUCAAUUUAGUCUUGAUUCUAAAAAUUCUAACCUCAACUUUUCACAUUGUGUAAUUUGGUCUUUUUUUUAAUUUUGCUUUUCUUUUUGCCCUUUUCACCUAAAAACAGAGACGGAUUUAGGGGGGUUGGCAGGGGCUCUAAACCCCCAAAAAUAGAAUAUCUGCCAUUUUGGCCCUUUAAAUUUUUUAAAAUUUUAAAUUGCUAAAGGUAAAAUUACACUUUGGCCCCCUAAAAAUGAUAAAAUUUUUAUUUAAUCCUUUCAAAAAUAUAAAGAUAUAGACAAUUUAAUUUUUCCCCCUACAAUUUUUUUCUUAGCUUUGUCCCUGCCUAAAAAGCUAAAAAACCAAAUUUAUCAACUAAAUUUGAUUAAAAAUAUAUAAUAAAAACAAGAUGAAAACACUCAAAAUUUCAAGAUAAUAAUUGUCAUAUUUUUGUAACACCCCUUAACCCUAAUUCGUCGCCAGAUCAGGGUUACGAGACAUUACCGGACAUAUCAGACAAUCUAUAAAUAAUUUCUUAAAUAAAUAACAAACAUAUUAUAAUAUAAUCGUAAAUUUAUAUAAAUAUUUAUUUUACUAAUUGAGUUCAUUUUAUUAUUAUUUUAUUUUAUGUGAUUAAAAAAAAGUCAAUAUAACCCCUUUAUAAAUAGUUAACCUUCCCUACAAUUUCAAACCGCAACCAAUUCACAAUUCAUACAAUUUCAUGUUCAAAUAACGUAAACAUAUCUUAAACAUUAACUUAGUAAUUUACUAAAUAAAUAUUCACAUAUAUUGUUUAAAUAAAUAAACUUCAUUCAUUCAAUUUUAGUUUUAGCACCAAACAUACCAUUAUAUAACUUAACGUUUCAUUUAUCAUUCAAACAUUAUAGACCAAUUCUUUACAACCAAAACUUACAAGACUCUUUAAUAAGACUGAAGUACAUGCCAUAUUUACCAAAGGAAAAAUACAUCACCAAAGUUAUGUUGAAGUCGAGAUUGAUUUGGAUGCUAAACCGGGACCUUUGACUUCUAUCGACAUGCACACAGAAACAACCGUACACUGAGUAUUUCAUACUCAGUGGUAUUACAAUAAUUCAAAUUAUAACAAUAAUAAACAUGUAAUGCAUAAAUCAUACAUACAAAUUUAAAUUCAAAUUUCAUAUUUCAACAAUAACAAUUCAUCAAUUAAUAUCAUAUAUCCACAAUUUUAAACUUGGACACAUCAUGAACCUUAGGUUCAUUCCUCAAUUUCAUAUCACAUUUCAAUUCACAAUUUAACUUUUUCAUCUCAUUUCAGUAGCUCGAUUGAUCAACUCAUUCGGUUUAUCAUUUCAUUAUUUACCUUAUUAACAAAAUUCAGACUUUGGAGGAUACACGGAUCCAACCAAACACUCCAGUAUGGCACCCAAUGCCUCAUCAGAUAGUUCGAAGUAAUAGUUGACACCCAGUGUCUCAUCGGCAAAGCUGAAAAAAGUUAGUACCCAGUACCUCUUCAAAUCUAUCCGAAGAAAUAUAGUGACACCCAGUGUCUUAUCGACUCGUGGUCAAAGUAUCCCGGAACUCUUCCAAUCCUAUGACAUGCCAACUAUAUCCGACUCAGCUCGACUAGUUAAUAGGGUCUCCAAAUUCACAUUUCAAUUCAAUUCCACUUUUUCACUUUCAAUCACAAUUCAAUUCAAAAUUCACUUUUCUAUUUUUUUUUCAAAUCAAUAUUCAAUUCAAUUCCACAUAUAUAUUCAUCAUUCGAUUGAAUUUCUUUAACUUAAUAAUAAUACUUACCUUAUAUUUCACUUACCAUAAAUAUAAAUUUAAAUAUAGCAUUUAAUAGUAAGUUAUUUGAAUUAUAUUAAUACAAACCUGAAAUCCGCGAUUACUCCUCGAUGAUUUUCUUUUUUCCUUUCUAUGCCGAUGGCUCGAGUUCUUUACUAGCUACGAAAAAUUAAGAUAAUUUCGCAAUCAACAAUACACUAUUAAUUUAUAUCUAAUUAAUUGAAUUUCUAUUCAAUUUUCUACUUUAAUUUCAAUUUAGUCUUAACUAAAUUCACUUAUUUUUCUAUCUCAAUUCAUACUUUAUUUCAAUUCAAAUUUCAACCAAACUUAGACAUAACUAUCUAAAUUUUUAUCAUAAAACCCUAAUUUCAAAAUUCUUGCAAUUUAGUCUCCACUAUGUAGAACUAUUAGCUUCUUUUACAAUUUAAUCCUUCAAUCAAUUCUAACUAAAAAUUCAUUCAAUUAAACCUCUAAUUCAACAAUUUGUUUAACAUAUAUCAUGUUCAAAAACCUAAAGAAAACUUCCAAAACCUCAACUUGAUUUCAACAAAACUCUAUUCUAAAGCUUCUAAAACAUCAAAAUUGAAAGAAAAGGGCUUAAUUGACUUACCUAUUACAAAAGGACUUUAGAGGAAAAAGGAUGCCAAAUUAGGAAGGACCUUACGUGGUAAAGAAUGCCUUUUCUAAAGGAGCGUUGAUAUUAACCAAGAUGGAUGGCAAGAACCUGCCUAAUCCUGUGAAUUCGGAUUCAGUCAAGAAGUACUUCACCUAAAAAAAAGGGAGAGGCCAAGGCAAAAACCCGCAAAUGGCGCCUUGAGACCAAAGGGGUUUUGAAUUGAAAACCCAAGAAAAGGGCAAUUCAAAUUUUGAUCAAAGGUGGGGCAUACGGUAGUCUUACUAUGCCUGAAUUAGCAGGAAGGAUGGAUGCUACAUCUUGGGACAUCAACAAAAUACUCUGGAUCUUCUAAACACGUAUCAAGUUUAAAGGGCCCUCGAGAAGUUUUGUGUAGAAAAGCUCAUGCUACGAUAUCUGAGGCACCUAUUUUCAUCUUAUUCAUUUCGUAUCUUAGCAAAAUUUGCUAUCUUGAUUAAUUCAUUCAUUUCAAACUUUGCUCUCAAUAAAAUUUCAUCUUGUCCAUUGUACUAAUCUUGUUCAAGCAUUUUUCAUUGAAAUAACGAUUAAUGGACUAAUAAUAUUCAAGCAGAAAGAGAUUUGCAUAUUACUCUGAAAGCUUCUAAAUAGUACGAGAACCUGAAACAUGACUAUUAUUUAGAACUCACCAAACCUAAGGGUUGGAAAUAUUGAGAAAGAAGAUUCUAAAUUGUGACUAUUUCUUUAGAUUUUCUGUCAAAGAUAUCAGCUGAAGAAGAAGACAGGAUAUUGCGUCAAUGAUAGAAUCUUGAUAAACAACGAGCAAUAAUAACCCAGACAUUAAAAAAGGAUCAUUCUCAUGACAUUCUGCAUUCAUACAAAUAUCAUUCAUAUACAUCCAAUUAGGAGCAUUUGAUUCAUUCUGAUCAUGACAUCCUAAUCAUUUGGCACAAACAUAGGCCCAUGAAAUGAAUUUUACAGGUCAUGUUAUCCAGAGAAUAGUGAAAUAGAUCAAUGGAGUUACAAAUCCCAUACCCCUGAAGUUACAGUGGGAUAGAUUGAAGUCAUUAUGGCGAAUCUUAUCUUCCUGAAAUUGCAGUGGAAUAGAUUGAAGCCACCAGCCUUAUCUCCCUGAAGUUGCAGCAGAGCAGACUAAAGAUAGCGAAUCUUAUUUCCCUAAAGUUGCAGUGGAAUAGAUUGAAGCUAAAUUGCAGAUCUUAUCUCUCUGAAGUUGCAGUAGAGUAGAUCAUAGCUAACCUUAUCUCCCUGAAGUUGUAAUAGAGCAAGUUGAAGUUAUAGGUCUUAUCUCCCUGAAGUUGCAGUGGAGCAAACUAAGGGUAGCAAAUCUUAUUUCCCUGAAGUUGCAGUGGAACAGAUUAAAAGCUACAAAUGACAAGUCUUAUCUCCCUGAAGUUGCAGUAGAGCAAACUAAAGAUAGUGAAUCUUAUCUCCCUGAAGUUGUAGUGAAGCAAGUUGAAGACAACAAAUCUUAUCUCCCUGAAGUUGUAGCAGAGUAGAUUUAGGCUACAAUUCUUAUACCCCUAAAGUUGCAGUGGGUUAGAACAAGGCUACUUGAAGAAGAGGAACACCAAAGAAGUUGAGAUUUGGCGAGACCGGGCAAAAUUGGUCACUCUUAAAAGUCUUUACUCCAUUCUCGUUACACAACGACGAGCAAAGAGGGGCAGCUGUAAUGAUCCAUUUUUGCCCGGACCCAAAACUAAAUAAAUAAAACCCAAAAUAAAAAAUAAACAGUCCAUAGUCAAAAAAAUUACAAGCCCAAAUGCCCAAUAAUAAUAAAAAAACCUAAAGGCCCGAUUGUCCCACAACUUAAACAUUUCAGCAAAAACCCUAACUCCCCCAACCCUAGGUGCGCCGCACCUAGGUACACCCCUAGCCACCGUUGCAUGCACACCAGCCUCCUCACGCGCGCUACCACCGCUGCACGCCAUCACCAUGCUCGUCUAACACUUCCAAAAAAAAUUUGAAUGCAACAACAGAGAAGUAUGCGAGCAACAAUAGCAGUAAAUAGCAAACAGACAAAGAUUAGAAACAAACAGUCUUGAUCCGGCUAUAAAAGACUAAAUUACACAAUGUGUUGUUUAGGUUAAUUUUUUUAUAAUAAAGACUAAAUGGAUAUAAUUUAUAAAUGUUGAGGGUUAAAGUCGUUAUCAUGUCAAUUUUAAAAGUAUCCACCUUUAGCCAACUGGUGGCCCAAAAAGAUAAAAUUAAAUAGUUAUGAGAUUAUUUUUUAACUUUUCAUAGUUGAAUGACCAAAAAAGAUACUAUUACUUACGUGAUUACUAGUGUAAAUUACCCUUAUUAUUAUUAAAAGAAAUAAAUUCAUUAAUAUUGCUAGUUCAUGUGCUACCCAUUAUCAAACCUUCUUGCGUGGUGAAAUAGACAUAAUUUGUUGAGGGAUAAAAACAAUAUAAAUAAUAUUUUUCAUCUUAUUAUAGAGUAUUUUUAAAUUAAAUAUUGUUGAACAACUUUUAACUUUUGGAAAAAAAUAUUUGAAGUGUCGUUUGUUGGGCAUCUAGUCAAAUUCUCAACAAUGGUUAGUAAUGUUCCAAAUAAGGUUUUGCCUUUUGUAUUUGCCAAAGGUCCUAAAGGGUUCAUGAAAGGGGAACAUCUCAUUUGGUAGAAAUACAACAUGCAUUGCUCAUGUAAGAAUCCAUUUUUAGUGGUACUGGAAACGACGGUUUCAGAAUCUCAUUUUUUGAUGAUUGAGUUUGUGAAUAUUAUUUUCUAAUAUUUACGAGUUUAUCUUAGUGUCAUAUGAUUUUUUGUCCUGAAAUUUUAGUGAAACGAUUAGUAAUUAAAGUAUAAGGACUAAACCAUAAAAACCUUAAAGAGUUAAUUGUUAUUAAUUUUAUUGGUUUAAAGGCUUGAAAAGUAUUAAGCCAAGUGUUGAAAUGGCAAAUUACUCUUUUUAAUAGAUAGUGUACGGUUUGGUAAGCUUUGUUUACUAAAUCAUGCAAAUUUUAUAAUUAAUAAAAUAAAAUGACAUGAGAUAAUAAUAGAACAUAUUGAAGUGGAACGAAAGAGGGAAGGGCUAUUUCAUUUUUUUCCUUUUUUCAUUCAUCUUCUUCACGAAACAAGAAGAAAGAAUUAGGGAUCUUAAAGUCGAAAUUUUGGCCUUGUGCAUGGUACGAAAAUUUAAUUCUUUUCUUGUAAUUUUUAUAUUUUUGAGAUCGUUUUAUUUUGAUUUAGAUAACUCGGGUAUUAAAUCGUAAAACUAUUAAAGUUUUAAAAAGUUACCAUUGUUGUUCUUUGAAGCUUUUGAUGUUCAAUAGAUGAAUGUUAAGCUUGGAAAUGAAAUGGGGACUAGUUUGUAAAGAAAAAUUGGUUAAUUUUGACUCUAGGAACUAAAAUGCAAUUAUUUCAAAACUAUCAUGGAAUUUCUAUACUUAUGGCUUUUAGUGAGUUAUAAAAUGAAUAAAUUAAAAACGGAGUUAAAAACAGAGCUUAAAUGUGAAUGAUAUGAUUGUUUCAGUUUUAAGAACUAAAUUGAAUAAAAUGUGAAACUUUAAAAUUUUAAAAAAAAUAAAGAAAAUAGAUCCAUGCAUAUCAUAUUAUGAUAUUAAAUUUUUGGAAUUGAUAAAUUAAAUUAGAAUUAUUAUAUAGAUCAAGAAUUAAAUCAAUCGAAAUAUAAAAGCAGAAAAAAAUUAUAGAUUAAUUUUAGAAUCAUAUUUAAGUAAGUUCAUAUGUGUUAAUUUAUAUUGUAUUUGUUUCCCUCUCUACAUGGGGAACUUUAUGAUGUUUGGUUUCUUCUUUGAACCAAAAGAAAAGCUAAGAAAAAGAGAAAAAUUAAAGAUAAAGGUGAGGCAAUAAAAGUUACAGGUGAGACAAUAAGGCAAAUCUGAUUAUAUGAUCUACAAUUUACAAAGUAGGGUUAGAGUGAUUAUAAGUGUCCUAUAAAAUAUAAUAAAAUAUUAAAUAUAAAUUUAUAAAUUAAAUUAGAUACAGAACAAUUUUUCAAGUUUACUUGUGGAAUUGAAAAAAGUAUAUUACCAAUUUACACAAUACUCAUAAUUGCUGUUAUAUUAUUAUAAUAUACUUGAAAUUCAAAAAGAUUUUUUUAUUGAAAAAAAAUAAAUACUAAUUAGUUAUGUAUCCAGUUUUAUUUUCUUAUACCAUUAGGAAAAGACAAGUGAAGAAGAAUCGUCCAUAAAUUUGCAGUUAAUAGUUAAUGGUUCCAAUUUAUUUGUCCUGAAUUUUGACUUUUGUAACUGAGAAUCCACAUUUUCUUUUUCAAUAGAAAAGAAAGGGAAAGUUUUUAGAUAUUGUGUGUCUUGAGAAACUAUAACCAAUUGAAGGUAUGGACAUUAGAAAAGAAAGGGAAAGUUUUUAGAUAUUGUGUGUCUUGAGAUACUAUUGUAAUACCCCGAAAAUUUCUACAGUAAGGAAAGUAAGAUAAUAUCUCUGAUAUAGUAAAAUAAGAAAAUAAAGUGCUAAAAAGGGAUAAUUUUGAGUUAUGGCAAUAUUGGGAAGUAAAUUAUAACAUAUUAAUUCAAGAAAGGAUUAAAUCGCAAAACUGAGAAAAGUUUUGUUACCCAAGAGUAAAUACUUAAAAGUUGAGGGGUUAAAGUGUAAAUAUGAAAAAGUUGAAGGACCAAUGGUGUUAAUAUUUUAAGGGUGGAAUAAUCUAGAAACUAAGAAAAAUGGAUGGAUUAGGAGCAAAUUGAAAAAGGUGAAGAAGUUUGAGGGACUAAAUCACAAUUUUACCAAAUUAAGUGAUGACUCAAGGAUGAAAUUUUAAAAGAUCAUAAAGGGCAAAAUGGUCAAUUAUAAGAGAGAGAAAUCUAGAAGAUAAUGAUGAUGUUGGAGAUAUUUUAGAUUAAUAAAUAAAUAAAUAAAUAUUAGUUUAUUAAUAUUUUAAUUUGAUUUUUUUAAAAUGAUAUUAUUUUAUUAUUAAUUUAUUUAGUAUAUAUAUGUGGAAAGAAGGAUGAAAAGUAGCCAUCCCCACCUUUUUUGCAUGCAUUAACGUGAGAAGAAGAGGGGAAGAAAGAAAGCUUUGCUUUCUUUACAAUUUGGUCCUUUCACCAAAAAUCCACCAUUUUUACUUAGAAAUCAAAGAAAUUUCCAUUGCCACCAAGAGAGAAAAUUGACAAAGAGACUAUGGGGAGCUAGAAUAUCAAGUUAGAUUCAAGAAAUAGAGGCUGGAGGAGAGAGAAAAUCAAGUUAAAGAUUGAAGUCAAUUGAGCAAGGUAAGAACAUCAUGAUUUCAAUAUAUUUUUGAGUUUGAUAUUAUCGAAAAAGUGUGAGAUUGAUGUUAAUGUAGGGUUUUAUUAUAUAAAGUUAUAUGUUCUUGAUAUGUUAGUGAAGAGAAAAUAAGAAAAAGUGUUGAGAAAUAGUGUAAAAAAAAAAGAAAAUAAGAGUGUUAUAGACUUAGUAAUCAAUAUUCUCCACUAAAGCAGUUUUGGAUAGUAGCAGUAGGUUAACUUUGAAAAAUCACCAUAAAUUGUGGAAAUCGAAUUAUAGGAUGAAUAAAAUAUGAAAUUAAAGCUUAUUGAGUCUAGUUUCACAUAGAAGAAACAGUGUAAGCAAUGAAAUUAUAAAUUAUGAGAUAUAAUAGGUUAUGUGAGAUACAGUCAGAAUGAUUUUGAGUUCCCCUGUUCUGACUUUGGAAAAUCAUUAAAAAUUUUAAAAAAAUAAUUAUGGGAUAAACUUUAUAUUAUUAGAAUCCUUGAUGAGUAUAUUUUCAAAUAAAACAAAUAGAAAUAUCAUCCGAAUUCUGUACAAUUAGAUAAUUCAUUUUUAGUGAAGAGUGGUUGGAACUAUCAGACAGUGAAACAGGGGAAACUUUAAAGAAUAAACUGUACCAUUUGGCUGAACCAAAAAUUCUGAAAAUUUUAUGGCAAGAAUAUAUGUGAGUCUAGUUUCAGGUAAUUAACGGAUCUUAAUUUGGAUUUCUGUAGCUCAAGAUACAAAUAAUUUAGUGACUAUGACUCAAAUGGACAGCUUUGAAUAAAUUUUCAAGAAAAUAGUGAAAAUUAUAGACAAUAUUACUUAUAAGCAUGUUAUAUAAAUUAAGGAUGUGGAAUGGAAGAGGAGGAGGAGGAAAAUAAAUGUAUGAAUAUUAUGCUAUCAUGGAUUUGCAUUACAAAUGGCUAAUUUGCAUGAUUUGGGUUCGAGGACUAAAUUGAAUAAAAGUAAAACUUUAGGGGUAAUUUUGAAAAAAUGUCAAAAAUGACCAAUUUGCAUGAAAUGAGUUGUUUUAUUAAAAUGAAAAAUUAAUUUAGAUCAAGAUCGGGUAGAAAAUCGAGAAAAUGAAAAAUUACCAAAAUGCUCUUGUAUUUUAGUAUUUUUACAAUUUAGCCCGGUAAGUUCGUGUAUCUUGAAUUAUAUGUUUAAAUGCUUGAAAUGUAUUUUUAUUGAUGUGAAUAUGAUUUGGAUGUUUAUUGUAUGAUAAUUGAUGAAGUAUUGAUAUUCUUGAUGAAAAGAGAAAAUAAAUUUCGGUUGAAUGAAAGGAAAAUUCGAUGGAUCUCUGAAAAGGAAUUGACGGUAAAAAGGAUCUAGCCCGGACGGGUGAUCCUAUCCUGAUAUAGCCCUCCUGAAGAAUAUGUGUGAAAAAGAUCUAGCCCGGACCGGUGAUCUUGAUAUAGCCCUCCUGAAGAAUAUGUGGAAAAUGGAUUUAGCCCGGACGGGUAAUCCAAAUUAGGGUCUGAAUUUAGCCUGGACUGGUAAGUCAAAUCCAAGCUCAUUAGAGUAAUUUUCGUUGCAGGGGAUUUAGCCUGGACUGGUAAUCCCGACAAUACUCUAUGAAUUUAUAUUACAGGGGAUUUAGCCUGGACUGGUAAUCCCGCUGUAAGGAUGAGGUUCGCGGGAGUGUGCUAUCUUGCAGGGGAUUUAGCCUGGACUGGUAAUCCCGCUGUAAGGAUGAGGUUCACAGGAGUGUGCUCUCUGAAAUGGAAAUGUGCGCACAUGAAUAUGAAUUGACGGACCCGGAAUUGUACACUAAAAGUGUACCUCUAAAAAUCCAUCGAAUUUCUGAGAAAUUCAACGGGAUAAAUAUGGAAAAUAAUAAGGGUAUUAGAAAAUAUGGAAUUGAAUUAUUAUUGGUAUUGAUCUGAAAUAAAUGUAACCAUUGAUAUUUAAAUGAUAUAACGGGUAAAGUUUUAAAGUGAGAUAACAUGAAUUUGAAAUGAACUAUUACUGGUAUGUACAAAAUUCAUGAAAAUGAUGGUACCUGAAUUAUCGAAAUAAUGAAAUGGAAAUGAAGCAUUAAAUUGCAUGAGUAUGUAUCGGGUUUCGUAGGCCCUAAUUAUUAUGAUCAUAAUAUUUUGAGGAUAUAUUAUGAAAAAUUAUAAAAGCAUGUUAAUAAUUUUGAAAAUUUUAAUUUAGAUGAAAUUUAUAACUCAGUUAAAUACGUUUACAUUCGUAUGGGUUCUGGUAAUGCCUCGUACCCUAUUUCGGUGUUGACUACGGGUAAGGGGUGUUACAACUAUAACCAAUUUAUUUUCUUAUACCAUUAGAAAAAGACAAGUGAAGAAGAAUUGUCCAUAAAUUUGCGGUCAAUAGUUAAUGGUUCCAAUUUAUUUGUCUUAAAUUUUGACUUUUGUAACUGAGAAUCCACAUUUUCAAUAGAAAAGAAAGGGAAAGUUUUUAGAUAUUGUGUGUCUUGAGAUACUAUAACCAAUUGAAGGUAUGGAUCCGAUCUAAAAAUGAAAAAGAAAAGGGAGAUACUCUCCUUUUUUUUGUUUGUAGCCUUCUGGCGACAUGGCCGAGCGGUAAGGCAGGGGACUACAAAUCCCUUAUUCCCCAGUUCAAAUCCGGGUGUCGCCUGAUCAACAAAAAACUCGAAAUCUUAACGUCUCCUAACGUCUAGGAUUCAAGGAAAAACUAAAGUAGUGGAAGGGAAUCAAUAAAUCUUGAUAUGGGAGCCCCCCUUACUAAUGGAGUGGCUACUAGAGGAGUCUUGAAUUAGAUUGGAUAACAGGAAUGUCUAAUUAACACAACAUUUAAAAGUGUAUUAUAAAAAAAAAAGUACACACACAAUAUUCAACACAACAAUUUUUCUGAUUUUAAUGUUCAACCCUGACGUAGGGCCUCCUUGAUCAUUCUAUCAAAGUUGGUAAUAGAAGAUCCUCCAACGCUAAUGGCAGAUUUAGCUUUUUUCUUCCAUUCCAAUGCCUUUUGCCUUAUCCUUUGCCCAUUAUCUCCUUCCAUUAUCUCUUUAACAAGAGCCUCCACAUCCUUACGCUUUACGUCAGGGUUGAUUUCCAUUCCAUUGCCCCAUGUGGUGCACGAAUAUCGACAAUUCGUUUGUUGAUCACCAAAGAAAGGCCAACAUAUUAAAGGCACUCCUUCGGACACAGCUUCCAACAGAGAAUUCCAUCCACAAUGUGUCAAGAAAACGCCAAUUGCUAGGUGGGACAACACUUGCUGUUGGGGACACCAGCUUGUUAUGAAGCCCUUUCCUUUUAUUGCCUCCAUGAAUUCUCUUGGCAAAAUAGCCGAUUCGCCCAUCACAACACCAGGCCUAAUUACCCAUAAAAACGGGUAUUUACUAUUUGCAAGUCCCCAAGCAAAUUCUUCCAAAUGAUGGUUAGACAUCACUGUUACACUCCCAUAAUUCACAUACACCACCGACUUGGGUUUCAUUGUGUUAAGCCAUUCGAUGCAACUUGUAUCCUCCUUCCAUAGGCUUGAAUUUAGUGAGUUAUGUUGGAUUUCAAGUAGGUUCCUACUUAGGGAGGUGAGUGGACCAAUUGCAUAAAUAUUAGGGGACUUGGAAGCAAUUACUUGUAGCACUUCUUUCUCGAACUCAUCGAAUGUGUUAAAGAUUAUUGAAGAAGAUUCUAAGCAUUCUUGUGAUACUUCCAUGAGGUAAUUAAACAUGGUGUCUUCGGGGUCGGUGGUUCUUAUGAAGCUUGGAAGGUCCUUGAGGCGCAUGUUAGGCAUACCAGGGAUCCAAUCAAUGGCCAUCUCAAGUGUCCCAUCGCUAACAAAGCCUUCAUCUACAAGGAAAAUAAAACGCAUAUUUUUGUUUCAAUAUGCAAAAGAAUAUGCAUGGACGUGCGUGUAACAUAUAGAACCUCAAAGAGAUUAUUAUGAAUGAACAUAAAGCACAAAGAAAACAUAAAAUUUGUAACCGGAAAUCAGGCAGACCCUUAACUGCUUCUUCCCCUCUAGACCGUAUCAAUCGUCUAUGAUUGAACUCGGUGUUGACAAAGGUUAUAUGGAAGCCUCUAGAGUGCAAGAGCUUGGCCAGUUGCAUCAUGGGGUUAACAUGACCUUGUGCUGGGAAUGGAAGACAUACUGCAUGCGAUUUAAUUAAACCCAUCUUUCUGCAAAUAAUAACUAAGCAAUGAAGUCAAGUAGCUGGUGAAAAUUGAAGAUACUAUACAUGAGUAUUCCUUCCUAACUAGUGGCGGGGAUAAAGAAAAACAGGAUAACGCUGUUGGUAAUUAUGGUGUAAAAUAAUUGUCAUUGGACGAGGUUGAGAAAAUAUCAGCUGCUUCUUAAGAAUUUUGAUAGGUUGCUGCAUUCGCAAGAGAAAUGAUAGUAUGACGUCAUCUUUAUCUCUUUCCAAUAGGAGAAUUAUAAAUUAGAUUUUUUCUUGAUUUUUAGCAAUUUUAGUUAGAUUUGAUUUUUGUUAGGAAAAAAAAUUAAAAAUCAAGAGAAAAAAUUCUGAUUUAUCAUUCUCCAAUUAGAAAAAUAUAAGGAAAUCACAGUUCAUACAAUCCCUUCUCGUAUUGGUAAUAAAAAAUUUUAAAUUGUCCUUAGUAGUUUACUUUUGAAAUUCACAAUAAUUAAAUUGCUUUAAUUUUUUUAGAGAGACCAAUUUGUUCAAUAUUGAAAUUGAGAAGGACUGGAGCGGUCUUUUUACCUUUUUCUUUUUUGUCUUAAAAUUUGUUUUAAAUAUAUAUAAUUGUUUUAAAAAUAAAUAUAUAAUUAUAUAAUACAUAAAUACUUAAAAAUAAAUCUAUGUAUUUAUUUUUAUCCGAUAGACUAAUAAAAAUAUUUAUUAUAUAAUUCAUAUAAAUUAACUAAAAAUAAAAAUAUUAUUUGGAACAAUAUUAUCAUUUUUAUUUAUUAUAAAUAGAAUUUUAUACACAAACACUUUCAAAGUUAAAAUAAUAUCCUCCUAGUAUGAUGUUAUUAUUUCUCAAAUAACAUUUGGCAUUAUUAUAAAGAAAUGAAUAUAAAAUACAACUUCUUUACUUAUGCUAAUACAUAAAGGUUCAUAAAUUCAUAAACGAGCAAAUAAGAAACUCAUUAAAAAGUUAUAACCUCAAUGGAAAUAUAUGUAUGUGUGUGUAAUACUUGUUACAACAAUCUUUGUAUGCUGGGGUUGUGGUUGUGGUUUAUAACUCAACAUUUAUAAAUUAUGUCAAUUUAGUCUUGAUUUUAAAAAAAUUAACCUCAACUUUUACACAUUGUGUAAUUUGAUCAUUUUUACAAUUUUACUUUACUUUUUUCCCUUUUCACCUAAAAAGCUAAAAAAACCAAAUGUAUCAAUUAAAUUUAAUUAAAAAUAUAUAAUAAAAACAAGAUGAAAACACUCAAAAAUUUAAGAUAAUAAUUUUCAUAUUAUUUUAAAAUUAAACCUCAAUGUCACGAAACUACAAAAAAAAAAUUUUAAAAAGAGACCAAAUUAUACAAUGUGUUGUUUAGGGUUAAUUUUUUUUUAGAAUAAAGACUAAAUGGACAUAAUUUAUAAAUGUUGAGGAUUAAAGUUGUUAUUAUGUCAAUUUUGUAAUUUUUCAUAGUUGAACGACAAAAAAAAUACUAUUACUUAAGUGAUUACUAAUUUACCCUUAUUAUUAUUAAAAGAAAUAAAUUCAUUAAUACUGGUAAAACGUUAAAUCAAACAAUGUGUUGCUAUUAACAAAAGCAUAAUGGAGCUCAACAGAGAGGCCCUUCCAUCCAUUCCAACCCUUGCAAGUUCAUGAGCUACCCAUUAUCAAACCUCCCUACGUGGUGAAAUACAUAUAAUUUGUUGAGGGAUAAAAACAAUAUAGAUAAAAACAUUAUAAAUAUUCUUUUUCAUCCUAUUAUAGAGUAUCUUUAAAUUCAAUAUUGUUGAACAACCUUUUAACUUUUUCGAAAAAAGUAUUCCAAGUAUCACUUGUUAAGCAUAUAUGGUUAAAUUUUCAAUAACGGUUAGUAAUAUUCUCAGUAGGGUUUUGUUUUUCGCCUCUAUCAAGGAUCCUAAAGAGUUCAUGAAAGGGGAACAUCUCAUUUAGUGGAAAUACAACUUGCAAUGCUCACGGGAUAAUUAUCAGUGUGUAAUAUUAAUUAUAAGAUACACUUGAGAGCUAAAGGACUCAAACUACUAGCAAAUUAUAUCUCUACCAAUUGAGGUGUCCACUCUUGUACUUUUCAAGAGUCUCCGCGGAGAAAAAAAACAAAACUACUACACAAAAAUAAUAUUUACUAUUGCUAAAAUUUUAAUUAAUUAUCUGAUAAAUAACACUUUAAAACCUCUCUCCAAGGGAUAAGAUCGCCUUCCCAGCAAAUUCAAUACAUUUAAUAUAAUACAAUAGAUUUAUUAUAUAUAUAUAUAGUAUGUGUUUUGCUCUCUACGGAGAGAACUUUAUGAUGAUUGGUUUUUUCUUUGACCCAAAAGAAAAACAAAGAAAGAGAAGACAAAUAAAAAAUAAAAGUGAGGCAAUAAAAGUAACAGGUGAAACGACAAAGGAAAUCACAUUAUGUUCUACAAUUUGGCACAUUAUAUUAAAAAAUAAUACUUUUCAAUAAACAUUAUAAUAUGCUUAAUAUAGAAUGAUAUAUUUAUUAAAUGUCUUAUAUUCUUUUUAUAGAUAAGAGAAAGCAAUACACGGUUUUAAAUCAAAUUAUUUAUACAUGAGAAUCAACUAAUAUGUCUUCUAAAAAGAGUCUCCUCACAUAAGGUGUAAGAACAUCAACAUAAAUAAAUUAACAUAUUAGGAAGACAUUAUUUGACUAGUCAAUUAGCAACCUUAUUCCGUUCCCUAUUCACGAAUUGGAACUUGACUGUUAGAACCUGACGAGAUAUUUCCUUGAUUUUCCUAACAAUAGUUAGAGAAGGUGAAAUGUCUUGUACUUAAAUUAUGAUAUUUGGUAAUGAGAUUUUGGGCAUGAGACUUUCAGAAAUUUAAAUUUUCUGGAUUCAUCUUGACAUUUGAUAAUUUAUUUUGUAUUUAUAUUUAAGGAGAUAUUUUGUACAGGGUUAAUUGGGUUGUUGGACUUUAGAAGUAGGUUUAGAGUAAUGAUAAGGAUCCUAUAACCUAUAGUAAAAUAUUAAAAAAUAAAUUUAUAAAAUAAAUUAAAUACAUAACAAUUUUUUUAAAUUUACUUGUGGAAUUAAAAAAAAAGUAUAAUAUUGAUUUAUCAAAUGCUAACUCAUUUAUUUAAUAGUAUAAUAUAAAAUUAAGAAAAACAUACACAAAACAUACAACACAACAGUAUUCUGAUUUUAAUGUUCAACCUUGACGUAGGGCCUCCUUGAUCAUUCUAUCAAAGUUGGUAAUAGAAGAUCCUCCAACACUAAUGGCAGAUUUAGCUUUUUUCUUCCAUUCCAAUGCCUUUUGUCUUAUCCUUGGCCCAUUAUCUCCUUCCAUUAUCUCUUUAAUAAGAGCCUCCACAUCCUUACGCUUUACGUCAGGGUUGAUUUCCAUUCCAUUGCCCCAUGUGGUGCACGAAUAUCGACAAUUCGUUUGUUGAUCACCAAAGAAAGGCCAACAUAUUAAAGGCACUCCUUCGGACACAGCUUCCAACAGAGAAUUCCAUCCACAAUGUGUCAAGAAAACGCCAAUUGCUGGGUGGGACAACACUUGCUGUUGGGGACACCAGCUUGUUAUGAAGCCCCUUCCUUUUAUUGCCUCCAUGAAUUCUCUUGGCAAAAUAGCCGAUUCGCCCAUCACAACACCAGGCCUAAUUACCCAUAAAAACGGGUAUUUACUAUUUGCAAGUCCCCAAGCAAAUUCUUCCAAAUGAUGGUUAGACAUCACUGUUACACUCCCAUAAUUCACAUACACCACCGACUUGGGUUUCAUUGUGUUAAGCCAUUCGAUGCAACUUGUAUCCUCCUUCCACAGGCUUGAAUUUAGUGAGUUAUGUUGGAUUUCAAGUAGGUUCCUACUUAGGGAGGUGAGUGGACCAAUUGCAUAAAUAUUAGGGGAUUUGGAAGCAAUUACUUGUAGCACUUCUUUCUCGAACUCAUCGAAUGUGUUAAAGAUUAUUGAAGAAGAUUCUAAGCAUUCUUGUGAUACUUCCAUGAGGUAAUUAAACAUGGUGUCUUCGGGGUCGGUGGUUCUUAUGAAGCUUGGAAGGUCCUUGAGGCGCAUGUUAGGCAUACCAGGGAUCCAAUCAAUGGCCAUCUCAAGUGUCCCAUCGCUAACAAAGCCUUCAUCUACAAGGAAAAUAAAACGCAUAUUUUUGUUUCAAUAUGCAAAAGAAUAUGCAUGGACGUGCGUGUAACAUAUAGAACCUCAAAGAGAUUAUUAUGAAUGAACAUAAAGCACAAAGAAAACAUAAAAUUUGUAAC
rnacentral:lncRNA from 1 species